rnacentral:lncRNA from 1 species
AGCAGUAUAACCAAAAGUUCCUGCAAAUGAAGUCCAAUUAGAUGAGUCCGACUUUAAAAGCCUAGCUGUGCCGAAGUCAGAUACAUGAGCUUCAUAUUCUGAAUCUAACAAAACAUUGUUACUUGAUAUGUCUCGAUGAAUUAUAGGAGGUGAGCAAUCAUGGUGCAUAUAAGAUAAAGCUUUAGCCACGCCUUUAACAACGUUUAGCCUCACAAUCCAAUCUAAUUUUUCUGCUUCUUCGUCGUUUCUUAGAAUGUUUCGCAAGCUUCCCUUUUCCAUAAACUCAUAAACCAAAAAUGAGUUCUCUGCAAAUAAACUGAAGCCAUAAAGCUUGACGAUACUGCGAUGCCUUAUCUGUGUUAAAGCAUGAAUCUCGCUUUUGAAAGCUUUCAAAUCAGCCAUAUCUCCAUCUUGUGAUGAGUGAAGCUUUUUCACAGCAACAACCCGACCUGUUGGCAACUCAGCCUUGUAAACAGUACCAUAUCCUCCAGUGCCAAUACACUGCUUCGAACUGAAAUUGUCGGUCCCCUGUAUGAUGUGUUCAUACAGCAAUUCCCCAUCAUGGCCCCAUAUUGCAAAUAGAUCUUCAACAUCUGCUUCUGGAGAUUUGGUUUUUCUCUUCCUCAAUUUUUGGAAAAGAAAAAAAAUGCCAAUAACAAAAGCAAAUAAGAACAAUAGACUGCUCACAAUGAGGAGUAUUAUGAUCAAAAUAGAAAACUUGUUGGCCUUCUUUCGACUAGCACUACAUGGCUUGAGAUGAGUGACAUUAUUACCACACAGACCUUUAUUAUUUUUGAAUGCCUCAAAUGGAGCAAAGGCUUUGAUGUUUGGGAGAGGACCUUCCAAUUGAUUGUAGGAUAUAUCAGCAACUGUCAAACUUAUCAAAUCAUCAAACGUGUGUGGGAUGGUACCAGAUAGCCCAUUGUGGGAGAGAUUCAACGUUUCCAGGUUCUGUAAUUCUCCAAGCAGCGGUGGCAUCUCUCCUGUCAACAUAUUUUGACUAAGAUCGAGACUUCGAAGAUGAUGCAUCUUUCCAAUUUCGUCAGGAAUGCUAUCCACAAAUCUAUUCUCGCUCAAGUUCAAGGACCAUAAUUUCCAGAAGUUUCCCAGUUGCUUGGGAAUUGGACCGCUUAAGUUGUUUGAUGCCAAGUCAAGGAUUUCAAGAUUGGAUAAGUUUCCCAAUUCCAGAGGAAUACUUCCUGAAAGUUUGUUGUUGCCUAGCAACAACUUGAACAGUAAAGGAAGCAUACCCAAUUCUUUUGGGAUCUUCCCAAUUAGAUGAUUUGAGGAGAGAUCAAGUUGUUGCAGUUGAAUUGCUUUCCCAAGUUGAGGUGGUAUAGCACCAGAAAUUUUGUUAUUGGAGAUGUUCAGGUUUGUGAGCAUGUGGCACUCCCCCCAUUUCUCAGAAAGGUCACCAUACAAAUUGUUACUGCUCAGAUCAAUAUAAUUUAGAUUAGGGUAUACACCAAAACUUUCGGCUAUGUCUCCAGUAAGUUGGUUAUUUUCAAGCCUAACUCUGAAUAAGCUAGUGCAAUUUUUCAAGCUCUUUGGAAUAGGACCAGUGAAAUGGUUCCUUUGGGCUGAAACUUUUUCAAGAGCAUUACCAAGGCAUAUCUCUUGUGGUAGGUGGCCAGUGAAGUUAUUCUCACCUAUCUGCAAAGAUUUCAAAUGAGUGAUAUUAUUCAUUUCUCGAGGAAUGGCACCACUAAGUUUGUUGGAAUGAAGAGCCAAAGUGGUUAAGCUGGACAAGUUUCCUAUAGAAGCUGGUAUUGAACCAAUGAGAUUGUUAAAUGAUAAGUCAAGAAUAUUAAGCAAUCUCAACAAUCCAAUUUCUUGAGGGAUAUAACCAAAAAGGCCAUUUUGAGAAAGAUACAAGGUGGUUAAGUUCCUCAAGUUUCCUACAAAAGAAGGGAUUGGACCAGUGAGAUUAUUACUUCCCAACUCAAGAACUAUAAGAGAUCUCAGUAACUCAAAUUCUUGAGGGAUGAAUCCAGAAAGUUUGUUACCAUAAAGAUAUAAAAGGCUUAACUUGGACAAGUUUCCUAAGGAAGCUGGUAUUGAACCGCUAAGAUUGUUGUCUGCCAAGUCAAGAUUCUCAAGUGAUGUCAAUAAUCCAAUUUCUUUAGGAAUGGAGCUAGAAAGUUGGUUACCAUAAAUGUAUAAAAUAAUUAAGUUCUUCCAAUUUUCUAUGGAAGUUGGUAGUGAACCAUUGAGAUUGUUAUAUGACAAGACUAGAUAAUUAAGAGAUCUCAACAAUGUAAUUUCUUGAGGAAUAGAACCAAAUAGAUUGUUUGAAUUAAGGUACAAAGUGGUUAAGUUCCUCAAGUUACCUAUGGAAGAAGGGAUUGGACCAAUGAAAUUGUUAGUUGACAAAUCAAUACUAGUAAGAGAUCUCAAUAAUCCAAUUUCUUGAGGAAUAAAACCAGAUAGUUUGUUUCUCAGAAGGAGCAAAGUGGUUAAAUUCCUCAAAUUACCUAUGGAAGGAGGGAUUGAGCCAAUGAGAUUAUUAGUUGACAAAUCAAUAACAUUAAGAGAUCUCAACAAUCCAAUUUCUUGAGGAAUAGAACCAGAUAGGUUGUUUGAAUUAAGGUACAAUGUGGUUAAGUUCCUCAAGUUCCCUAUGGAAGGAGGAAUUGGGCCUUUGAAAUUAUUAGAAGACAAUGCUAGAAAGCUAAGAGAUGUUAGAAAUCCAAGUUGGUCAGAUAUUACACCAAUGAAAUGAUUGAAACGAAAGUCCAAAACUAUGAUCAGUUUGGAAAGAUUGCCAAUGUUGAUUGGAAUGGUUCCAUAGAGGGAGUUGUUAUAAAGAUUAAGAGUAAGGAGGUUGGAAAGUGAUGAAAAAUUGAGAUUAUGGAGUGUACCUCUCAAACCGCAACUUUGAAGGUCUAAACUGGAGACACUUCCUGACCUGUGACAAGUCACUCCGAACCAAUGAUGGCAAGAAUUGCGUCCAGACCAAGAAAAGAGGAAAGAUUGGGUUUGAUUAUCAAGACUAGCCUUCCAUGUUAGAAGAGCAAGUGCUUCUUGAUCUUGUUCAACUUUCGAAAAAGAAGUGAUAGGUGUAGAGGCAAAUGUAAAAGUGACAUGGAAUGAUGAUAUUGAGUACAAAAGGAAAAGGAGAAAUAUGAAGAAGCAAGGAGUGAUGAUGAGUCGGGGGAGUAAGGAGUAGGAUGAAGGACAUCCAAGGGUCAUUGUUGAAUUGGUAGAAAUGAAGUUAUUAGGGGUUUACUUGGAGGGAAGGAAGAAGAUGAAACACUUAUUUAUAGGCUUAAAUGUGAUACAUCCAAUAUUUCCAUUGGUUUGUGUUGGCAUCCAACUACCUCAUUGGUCUACAAUUAAUGGAAUUGAAAAGGAUCAGAGUAUAUACAUUAAUUCAAUUCCACACUUAUUUUAUUUUAUUUUAUCACUCUUAAUUUUUUAAUUAAAAUGAAAUUAUUAAAAAUAUUCCUUUUUCACUCCAUUCACUUUUAAAUAUAAUUUGUUUGAAAUUAAUAAUUACAAUUCUUUCUAAGAAGUAAGGAUCAAAUAUGCUCAUGUCAAUAUCCUAGUUGAUAUAGGAAGUCCACUUGAGCAACAUUACUUGUACAUGUGCCUUUAUAUAAGCCACUUGAUAUUUUUUUUUUCAAAAAUUAAUAAAUAUAAGCUUUAAUGAGAGCAAAGAGAAUCGGGUACAUAUUUUAUUAUUAAAAAAUCUGCCAUGAAAUUUUUUUUGGUAGGCUUACGUUUUGCAUAAGAUAUAUAUAUUCAUUUUGCGUCAAGAAAUUGAAAAACAAAAAUUGAUUUAUUUGUUACUUAUAAAAUAAUUGAGAUCAUGCAUGGAAUUGCAUCUCAUCAAUUCUUCAUGAAGAAUUGGCUUGUAAGAAAUUGAUAUUUUUAAAUAUUUAAUUAGAAAUAUGUAAUAUUUACUAAGUUGAUUACAUUUCUUCUUUAAUUUGGUUUAGGUUUCUAAAAUUAUUAGUUCUCAAAUAUCUUAUUUUAAUUGUAUUAGAUAAGAAUAUAUAUAUAUAUAUAUAUAUAUAUAAUUAUCAUUUUCACGAUAUUGUUAAAUUACUCAUUUCUAGAAUUUUUAUUAUGUUAACAAAUGUUAAUAGUUUGAAAUAUUUGAAAAUAUGUUCAUUACCAUUUUUUUUGGUCAAAUUAUUAGUCUUGAAAUAUUUUUAUCAUAAUUAUAUAAAAUAAAAGCAAAUAUAAUAAACUUAAAGCAAAUAUAAUAAACUUAACACUUAAGAACAUUUAGAUAUCACUUUAAACAAAUAUAUUAUUCAAAGUCAUCCAUCUAGGUAUUACAUAAAUGAAGUUAUAGUUAACAUUCAUAUUAAAAAAUAAAUAAAUGUUACCUAGUAGUACGACAUAACCACACCAUUGUAGCUGAACUUUUCUUCUCUAAGUAGACUUCUUAUGAAAACUUUAUUUAUUUUUAGACUGCAUUCAAAUAAGGAUGUAUUGUGAAUUAAUUAGUAACUAGUAAAAUUUGCUUGUACUGUUUAUUAUUAUUAAAAGAGAUUUCUUACUUAUCAAUUAAAAUUACAGAUGUUGAUAUGAACAUAAAAUUCCCUUUUCAACUACAUGCAUUUCUAAUCAAGAUUUUUGUUGUUUUCAAUAGAGUGGAAUAGUCAUUGGUUUACUAGUUCUUAUCAAUAAUUGUUUUCAAGAAUCUAGACCCAAUAUUCAUAUCAUCAAUGGUAGCCAUCAAUUAUCCUAGUUGACGUGAGGGGUCUAAUCAAGGUGAAGUGUAUAUGAGCUUCAUGUAUUAAAUCUUACUAUUAAAAUAGAAAGUGAGGAUUGAAUCCAUUGUAUUAAGGCUAAGUAGUAGCCAUUACAAUGGUGGAACCUAGAUUUUUUUUUUCCUUUUUAAAAGGUAAAAUUUGUAUUGAAACUUCAUCUAUGUCAAGGCAUAGCACAAAUGAAGGGUGGCAUGCUUUCAAGUAGAAAUAAAAUAGAAUUUCAUUUUCUAAAUAGGUUAUUUUACCAUUGUUGUAAAUAAUUUCUUUUACUUCUUCCUUCCCAAGAGUCAAGAACUCCAGGAUAAUUGCUUCACAAUAUUUCCCAUCCAAUCAUUCCCAUCAAUUCUUCAUGAAGAAUUGGCUUGUAAGAGACUGAUUUUUUUUUUUUAAGUAUUUAAUUAGAAACAUGCAAUAAAAUGAUUAUACUUUUUCUUUAAUUUGGUUUAGGUUUCUAAAAUCAUUACUUCUCAACUAUCUUAUUUUAAUUAUAUCAAAUAAAAAUAUAUAAUUAUUAUUUCUUAAGAUGGUACUGUUAAAUUACUAAUUUUUAAAAUAUUUAUUAUUGUAACACAUGUUAAUAUUUUGGAAAAGAAAUUAUUACUAUUUUUUUUUCAAACAAUUAGUCUUGAAAUAUUUUUUUAAUUAUAAAAAAUAGAAACAAAUAUGAUAAUUAUUUUUGUAUAGAUAAUGAUACUUAAUUAGUAAUUUUUAGAUAUUCGUAGCAUGUAAAAAAAAAAAAGUAGACUUGACAUUUAAGAACAUUUAGAUACCACUUUAAGCAAAUAUAUUAUUCAAAGUUAUACAUCUAGCUCUCCUAGAUUUAAGUUAAAUAAAUGAAGUUAUAGUCGAAAUUCAUAUUAAAAAAUAAAUGUUACCUAAAAUUAAUUCCUAUGAUAUUGUAGUGGAACACAAUUUUUUUUUUCCUUUAAGUAGAAUUAUAUGAAAACUUCAUUUAUUUUUAGUGUAUAUUAAAAUAAUGAUUUGUUUUGAAUUAAUUAAGAAACUAAAAAAAUUAUUUGUACUCUUUAUUAUUAUUAAAAAAUAUUUCUUACUUAUCAAUUAAAAUUAUAUAUUUACAUAUGAAUAUAAAGUUCCCUUUCCAAUUGCAUGUUUUUAGUCAAGACUUUUGUUGUCUUUGAUAGAAUGGAAAAGUCAUUGCAUUCCUAAUUUUCUUAUCAACAAUUGUGUGGAAAAGUUAUUGCAUUCCUAAUUUUUGUCAACAAUUGUGUGCAAAAGUCAUUGCAUUCUUAAUUCUUUUGCACAAUUGUUUUCAAAGAAUCUACAUCUAAUAUUUACAUUAUCAAUGGUAUAUGUCAAUGAUCCUAAUUCAUGUGAGUGGUCUAAUUGGAGUGAAGUAUAUAUCAACCUCAUUUAUUAAAUCUUAGUAUUAAAAUAAAAAGUAGCGCUUGAAUACAUUGUAUCAAGGCUUUAGGAACAACAUUAUUAAUGCUGGGAAUCUAAAUCAAAUGAAAAGAUUUCUUAUUUGUCAAUUUAAAUUACAUAUUUAGAUAUGAAUAUAAAGUUUUCUUUCCAAUUGCAUGCUUUUAGUCAAGACUUUUACCGUCUUUAAUAGGGUGGAAAAUUUGUUGCAUUCCUAAUUCAUAUCUACAGUUGUAUGGAAAAGUCAUUGCAUUCCUAAUUCUUGUCAACAAUUGUGUGGAAAAGUCAUUGCAAUUAAAUACACUGUAUCAAGGCUUGAGGAAUGACAUUAUUAAUGCUGGGAAUCAAAUCAAUUGAAAAGAUUUCUUAUUUGUCAAUUAAAAUUACAUAUUUAAAUAUGAAUUUAAAGUUUUCUUUCCAAUUGCAUACUUUUAGUCAAGACUUAUACCGUCUUUAAUAAGGUGGAAAAUUUGUUGCAUUCCUAAUUCAUAUCAACAAUUGUGUGGAAAAGUCAUUGCAUUCCUAAUUUUUGUCAACAGUUGUGUGGAAAAGUCAUUGCAUUCUUAAUUCAUAUCAACAAUUGUGUGGAAAAGUCAUUGCAUUCCUAAUUCUUAUCAAUAAUUGUUUUCAAGGAAUCUAUACCUAAUAUGCACAUUAUCAGUGGUAGACGUCAAAUGCAAAUAAUUUCUUUUGCGUCUUGAAGAUUUUUACUUCAUAAUGUUGAGCAAAGAUGCAUCUAUUUAAGAGUGGUUUGUACUUUUUAUAAUAGGUAUUGUGAAAAAGGAUAUCUUCAAAAUGUAAAUUUUGUUAAUUUUUUCAAAUAAUAUUGCAUUAUUUUAAUUCAAUUUUCAAGUUAAUUAAAAGUGAAACUUAGAUCAAGGAUUGGACAUAAUAACAACAUUUCCUAUUAAUAGAUUUAAUAAUAAAAAAGAUGAGUUUUUUUUUUCAAAUAUAUAUACGUCAAAAGAGAAUUUAUGUUAUGUUUUUCUUAAAAAAGAAAAGUUUCAUGACUGAAUAUACCACUCAAUUCAAUUCAAAAAACUUAUUUUUGAAUAUUUGUGGUUUAGUUCAAUUCCAUGACUAAAUAAUUGGCCAUGUUUAUUGGGAUUUAAAGUCUUGGUCAAACUUGAUGUAAUAUUUUAACUGCCAAUGAAAAAUAAAUAAAGUGAUAAAUUGACUAAGAGUCCAUUUGGAAAGUAGGGCCAAAAAUGGCUUCAAAUUCUUAAAGAUUAUGUUUUACUAAAAAUUAAUCAUUUGAAAAAAAAAAUUGUAAUCAUUUUAAAGUUAUAAAACAAUCGAGGGUACUUCUUAAAUAAAGACUUGAUAAAUACUUUUAAAAGACAUUAUAAAAAACUCGUGAAAAAUAUUUGAAUUUCAAAUAAAUGUUCUUGUUAAAAUAAAAAAAAAGAAUACAUUUUUCAAGCAUUUUUAUUAAAAAGACUUUCAAAUAUAUUUUUACUUGAUAUCCUUGAAUUGUUAAUACGAUUGUGAACUCCAUUUAAUUUUUUUUCUUUAAAAAGUUGGGCAAAUCAUAAAAAAUGGUAGGUCAUGUGUGAUAAUUCUUUUCAAGGAUCACCAUGUUUACAAGUUCAUGUUAGUCCUCAAGUAAUGAUUUAAAAGUUGACAAUUUCAUAAUUCUAAUUAUACCCUCUUUUAUAUUUUCCUCUUAUUCCCAUUCAACUUUACUUUCCUUUUUUUUUUUCUUUUAUAAUUUUUUUACUUAUUUUUGUUAUGAGGUAUUAAUAUUAUUGUUUAGAUAUUAGUAGAAUUAUUCAUGUUAUUAUUAAUAUCAUUCUUAUUAAUAUUAUUUAUUAUUUUUAUAAUUAUUAUGGACUUUAUUAUUCAUAUUUUUAAUAUUAUAGUAAAAAUAAUAUUAUUAUAUUUUUAUCAUUAGUACUACAAAGAAACCUGGAAGAUAAUUUAUAUUUUUUUUAAUUCUUAAGGCUUGUAAGCUUUAUUAAAAAAUUAUUUAUUUAUUUAUUUAUUUAUUUUGCCUUUUAUGCUUUAUAUGCUACAUUAAGACUAAUUAAAUUAUUAUUGCCACCCCAUUAAUAUUAUUAUUUAUGAUAUUAGUUUUAUAUAAUUAAUAAAACUAAUAUUAUAUCAAAGUUAUAGAUAUGACAAAAAUGCAUUGAUCUUACAACAUUAAUACUUUAAAUAUAUAAUAUAUUACGACAUAACCUAAUUUUAUUUUAAUUCUUUUUUUAAACAAACACCUGUGAAUACUUGCUCUAUACUCCUUAAAAUUUUCUAAAUGGCUUCAAAAUGUAAGCACAACAUUUAUAUAUUGUACUUAAAACAUAAAUACGCUAAAAUAUGAUGCAUUAUGACAAGCCUUAAGUUUACUUUUUAACAAUUAUAAAAACAAAUAUUUUUAUUGUAAUAUUUUCUUAAUAGUUCUAUUACAAAAUUAAACAUUUUUAAAUUGAUGAAAUCUAUAUAAUAAAAAUUAUAAUAGCUUUAUAUUUUUAAUUAUCAAAAUGAAACAAUAAUUUGUAAAUUUAAUAUAUUAUGAUUAUUAUUAUUAUUAUUAUUAUGGAUAAGUUAUUGAUAAUAUUUUUAAAAUUGUAAUUAAUAAAAUUGUAAUUUAUAAUUAAUGUUUAUAUUAUUUAUAUGGAUUGAUAUUAAUAAUAUUAUUACUUGAUAGCUUAAUAAUAAUAAUAAUAAUAAUAAUUAGAAAAGAAAAAGAGAAAAUAGAGAAAAGAGGGAUAUGCUUGGUUUUAAAGUGGAAAGAGUCAGAGUAUACUUAACUUUUUGUAUUUUGAGGCAUAUGGAAGACUUAUCAAAGUUGAUGACCUUUUUGGGACAUUAUCACCUAUAACUCAUCCUAUAUGGAAAUUUUCCCUAAAAUGUUUUACUAAUGGGUUUAAAAUCCCUCCUUAAAGCACAUGAGGAUAUUUAUGAACUAUUUGAAUGGAAAUUGGAGUUAAACUCAACCAUGAGAGUGACUUAGUUUAGUGGAAUAUAUAGUUAGAAGAUAAAUCUAACCCAACUCUCUCUUUACCUAUAAGACAAAACUCAUUUCUUUGUAUACUGAGAUGCAAAAAUUGCAUAUAAAUAGGCUCUUUUUAGUUAAAAUUGUGUUCCAUGAUCAUAUCACAGAUUAAGUUAAAUAAGAAGUAAAAAUUUCUAAAUUAAUUUUUUUAUUAAAAUGAUUUCUUAACUGUGAAGUAAAUUAAUCUUACAUAUGUAUGUAAAAAAAAAUUUACUUUUAUUCUUAUUAAAAUAGGUGGAGGUGUUUAAUAAUUCUCCUUAUCAAAUCCUAGUCCUAACCCUAAUUCUAAUCAUAAUUAUUUCUCAUUUCUUUUUUUUCCUUUUCUUCCAUUCUAUUAUAUUUAAAUACUUAAAUUAAAUCAUUAACUCAAUUUAUCAUAUUCAUCUUAACGUGAAAAACUUUUAAACCACUUAGUGAAUCCCCUCUGUUCAUUAUUCAUGAUUGAUUGAUUAAUGUAAAGAUAACAAUACUGUUUAUAUGUAAUUUAGAGACUCUCACCCUAGACUUAUACAUAUCAAUUGCUAUUAGAAAAAAAUAAAUAAAUAAGCACAAAAACAAAUUAAUUUUAAAACUAAAAAAUAUUUAUUUGUACUUUUAUUACUAUUAAAACAUAUUUCUUACUUGUCAAUUAAAAUUACAUAUUUACUUAAAGUUCCCUUUCCAAUUGCAUGUUUUUAGUAAAGACUUUUGUUGUCUUUGAUAGGGUGGAAAAGUCAUUGCAUUCCUAAUUUUUUUUAUCAACAAUUGUGUGGAAAAGUUGUUGCAUUCCUAAUUUUUGUCAACAAUUGUGUGCAAAAAGUCAUUGCAUUCUUAAUUCUUUUGCACAAUUGUUUUCAAAGAAUCUAUAUCUAAUAUUUACAUUAUCAAUGGUAUAUGUCAAUGAUCCUAAUUUAUGUGAGUGAUAUAUGUCAACUUCAUUUAUUAAAGCUUAGUACAAAAAUAAAAAGUAGCAAUUGAAUAAAUUGUAUCAAGGCUUUAGGAAGGACAUUAUUAAAGUUGGAAAUCUAAAUCAAUUAAAAAGAUUUCUUACUUGUCAAUUUAAAUUACAUAUUUAGAUAUGAAUAUAAACUUUUCUUUCCAAUUACAUGUUUUUAGUCAAGACUUUUUUCCGUCUUUAAUAAGGUGGAAAAGUUGUUGCAUUCCUAAUUCAUAUCAACAGUUGUGUGGAAAAGUAGUUGCUUUCCUAAUUUUUGUCAACAAUUGUAUGGAAAAGUCAUUGUAAUUGAAUACAUUGUAUCAAGGCUUGAGGAACAACAUUAUUAAUGCUAGGAAUCUAAAUCAAUUAAAAAGAUUUCUUAUUUUUUUAAUUACAAUUACAUAUUUAGAUAUGAAUAUAAAAUUUCCUUUCCAACUGCAUGUUUUUAGUCAAGACCUUUUUUGUCUUUGAUAGGGUGGAAAAGUCAUUGCAUUUCUAAUUUUAUCAAUAUGUAAUUGCGUGGAGAAGUUGUUGCAUUCCUAAUUCUUGUCAACAAUUGAAUGCAAAAGUCAUUGCAUUCUUAAUUCAUAUCAACAAUUGUGUGGGAACGUGGUUGCAUUCCCAAUUCUUGUCAACAAUUGUGUGGAAAAGUCAUUGCAUUCCUAAUUCUUAUCAACAAUUGUUCUCAAGGAAUCUAUAGCUAAUAUUCACAUUAUCAAUGGUAGACGUCAAUUGCAAACAAUUUCUUUUGUUUCUUGAUUUGCAAGACUCAAGAACUUGUAGAUUUUUACUUCAUAAUGUUGAACAAAGAUGCAUCUAUUUAAGAGCGGUUUGUGCUUUUUAUAAUAGGUAUUAUGAAAAAGGACAUGUUCAAAAUGUAAAUUUUGUUAAUUUUUUCAAAUAAUAUUGCAUUAUUUUAAUUCAAAUAAAGAAAAAAUGGUUUAAAAUACUCAAAAAUAUGUUUUACUAAAAAUUAAUCAUUUGAAAAAAAAAUUAUUGCUAAAAAAAAAAACACUACUUGGAGUGCUUCUUAUUGGAUAAACACUUGACGAUUAUUUCUUUUAAAAGAUAAAAAAAGUAUGAAAAAUACUAAUAUGUUAUAUAAAUAUUCAUUUUACAAAAAUACACUGUUCUAGUAUUUUUAUUAAAAACAAAGUAAAGAGGACAAUAUCUUCUAUAUGUAAUUUAAAUACUCUCAUCUAGACUUAGCUAUUAUAAAAAACAAAAACUUAAUGCACAAAAAUUGGAAUGAGGAAGUAAAAAUAAUGAUGAAAAUAUUAGUUUUGAUAGAUAUACUAGUAACUCGAUUUUACAGAUAUAUCAAGAUAUAUCGGAAAAUAUCGGUGUAACAAAAAUUGAUCAAAACUCAUUAAAAUGUUAAGAAAAAAUUAUAAAAAAAAAUGAUAUAAGAAGUAAUAAUUAAUAUUUUAAAGUUGUUUUGUUAAAGAAAUUAUUAUAUAUAUGAUAUAUUUUUUUUGUAUUUGAUAAUAAUGUUGUGUGCACCAAUAAAAAAUAUAAAUUUUAUAAAUAUACAUUCAUUACUGAGUUACAUUAAAUAUUAUUAGACAAUAAUAUUGUGACAUUUUAUUAUAGUAUAUCUAACUUCAAAAUAUAAUUAAUAUUAAAAUUAUGAUCCAUUUAAUUCAAUUAUAUUCAAUGAUAUAAAAUAAAUGAUAAUAUAUGAAUAAAUUUUUUAAUAUUUAUGUUUUUUUAUAUUUAAUUAAUAUAUAAAUGAGAUAUCUUAAGAAAAUUAUCACAAUAGUUUUUAUAUUUUUAGUGAUUAAUUAAAUGAAAUUUUAAAAUAAGAUGAUUAAAAUUAAUUUAUUUAUUAAAAUAUUCUUUGAAUGUUUUGCUUUUAUGAUGCAUUUUAGGUUUUUUUUUUUUUUUUUUUGGGUGCACUAAGUAUAAUAAAAGGGCAGGUUUGCCCAGUGGUGAAGCAAGGUUACUUUUGGACAUUUUGUCUUGACCAGUCUCAACACCUACCACAAGCCAACUUUAGGAUCAUAAAUAAUAGAUGAAAAAUAAUUAUUACAGUAAUAAUGAGGUUGUCAUUUUAUUUAAUUAAUCAACUAUUCUAGUUGUGGAAUGUACUAUGCAUAGGUUCCAUGAAUUAAAUUAUUGUAUAAAAUGUCUCAUAAGAAAAAUGCCGCUUGGCUUACUAUUUAUAAAUUUUUUUUAAUUAAUUAAAUUGUAUAAAUAAUUAUGAGUCCAAUAGGAUAUAUUUUUUUAUUUUAUAUUUAAAAAAAAAACAUUAACUUCUAUAUAAAAUAUAAAAAGUCUUAUGGUCUUAUAUGAAAAAUGCAGUGAUUUAUUUAAAUUGAUUAAAAAAUUGAGAGAUUAAAAAAAUUUUAUUACCUCAAAUUUUAAUAUAUAUUUUUAGAAAAAUAGAAACAUAAGGUAAAUUCAUACUUUUUAUAUAAAAUUUUUUAUUUUUUAUAUAAAAGUUUUUAUUUUCAAAAACAAAAAAAGAAAAAGAAAAUAUAUCUAAAUGAAGUUUAAAUACUUAAAUUAAAUAUAAUAAAUAAUGACAUUUUACUUAAACCAAUAAUUAAAAGUGAUAAUAAAAAACUUAUAAAUAAAAAAUUAUACUUAAUAAAGAGAUUUAAGAGUAAUUAAUUCCAAAGAAAUUUGAAACAAAGACCAAGUCAUGUCAUUCGUGGGGAUCCGACACAUGUUUAGUGUAUGGCUCAAGUUUGUCCAAGUGCUGUCAAAUAAUAAAUAUAUUAUCAACUUAACAAUCGAAAUAAUUGCUUGGGCUUUACCCAUUCAAAAGUCUUUGCCCAGCAUCAAGUCUAAGUUUGUCCACGUACUCUCAAACAAGAAAUUUAUUGUCGACUCAACAACUCUCUGAUUACAAAAAACAAUGGAAAUAAUUUGUCCUUGCUUGGCCCAUUUUUAAAGUCUUUGGCCAGCGUCAAGUCAACUCGAAAAGAGUGUAAUCAUGUUCCUAUAUUUGCUUCUCAAAAAUACGAAGGAAAAAAAAAAUUACAAUGAAAUAAUUUUCCCAUAUUUUAUUAUACUAUAAAAAAAUAUAUGAUAAUUAUAUUUUUAUCUUAUUCAAUAAUAAUAUUAUAUAUAUAUCAUUAAAAAAAUAUAAAUUUUAUAAAUAUACAUUAAUUAUUAAAUUAAAUUAAAUAUUAUUAGACAAUAAUAUGUUUAACUUUAAAAUAUAAUUAAUAUUAAAAUUACGAUUCAUUUAAUUCAAUUAUAUUUAAUGAUAUAAAAUAAAUAAAAAUAUAUGUAUACAUUUUAUUUUAAUAUUUAUGUUUUUUAUAUUUAAUUAAUAUAUAAAUGAUAUAAAAAAAUUUCUUAAAAAAAUUAUCACGGUAGUUUUAAAAAAAUCUCUUAAAAAAUCAGUUUAAGAAAACAAAGACAAACAAUUGAAAAUAAUUAAAAUAUGUUACAUAAAAUAUCAUCUUUAGUGUUUUUUUUAAGAAUAAAAAACUAUAUAUAUAUAUAUAUAUAUAUAUAUGUGAUACUAUAUUUUAAGAGAAUAUCUUUUGGUUAUUUUUAGUUAUUUUCACUUGUUUUUUGAAAUAUAUUUUAAAAAAUAAUUAUAUAAAUAUGGGGAAUUAUUAAAAAUAAAACAUUAUAGAUAAAAAUUUAUUUUAAAACUAUAUUAAAAAAUAUAGAAAAUAUGUUAAAAACGUUUCAUAUUUUCAAACCAGCUUUGUUCUAUAAAACAUUAAAGAAUAAUUUUCUAAAAAUUGUUUUUCAAAAUUAUUUUUAAAAAAAAAUACUUUCCAAACAAAACCUUAACAAUUCUCUUUAUCAAAUUCUAAUUCCAACUCUAAUCCUAAUCAUAAUUAUUUUCCUUGUCUUUCCUUUCCUUUUUUUUCCUUCCCUUCUAUUCCCUAAUUAUAUAUAAGUAUUUAAAUUAAGACAUUAAAUCAGUUUAUCAUAAGCAUCAUGUCAAUGACUUUUAAACCACUUGGUGGAUCCACUCAUCCAUCAUUCAUGAUGGAUUAAUCCACGGAAAGAUAACAACAUCUUCCUAGACUUGUACAUGUGGAUAGCUAUUAGAAAAAAAAAAACAAAAUUUAAUGCACAAAAAUUGGGAUGAAGAAAUAAAAGAAACUCAUCAAUGGUUACAACUGGUACGUGAAUGAAUAGAUGGAAGAGAACACAACAACCAAUCAUAAAUAAGAGAUGAAAAACAAUUAUUAUAGCAAUAAUGAAGCUGUCCUUUUGUUUAAUUAAUCAACUGUUCAAACUGGGGAUGUACCAUAAAUGGGACCAUGAAUUAAAUUAUUGUAUAAAAUGUCUCAUAAGAAAAAUGUUGCUUCACUUACUUUCAAUACAUUUUUUUAAUUAAUUAAGUUUUAUAAAUAAUUAAGAGUCCAUUAGGAUGGAUUUUUUAUUUUCUAUUUUAAAAAAUAAAAAAUAAGGAUAAAUUCCAUAUAAAAUAUAAAAAGUUUUAUAAUCUUAUAUAAAAAAAAUGCAAUGGUUUUUUUUAAAAUUGAUUAAAAUUUUGAGAUAUUAAAAAACAUUAUCGCCUCAAAUUUUGAAAUUUAUUUAAAAAAUUUAGAAACAUAAACUAAGUCUAUAUUUUUUAUAUAAGAGUUUCUAUUUUUUAUAUAAAAAUUUUUAUUUUUAAAAAUAAAAAACUAAAAAUAUCUAUAUAAAUAAAGUGUUAAUACUUAAAUAAAAUUGAUCAAAUAAUAACAUUUUACUUAAACCAAUACUUAAAAGUGACAAUAAAAAACUCAUAAAUAAAAAAAGAAUACUUAGUAAAAGAUUUAAGACUAAUUAAUUUUUUUAAAAAAAAUUGAAACAAAGACCAAGUCAUAUCAUUCAUUGAGAUCCGACAUAGUUUGUCUAAGUAUUGUCAAAUAAUAAAUUUAUUAUUUGACUAAGUACAAUAAAUUUAUUAUCAACUCAACAACUCGUACCAAAACAAUUGAAAUAAUUGUCCAUGUCGGACCCAUUUUAAAGUCCUUUCCUAAGGUCCAAAUUUGUCUACAUACUGCCAAAUGAUAAAUUUAUUAUUAACUCAAUAACUCUCUGAGUACAAAAACAAUCAAAAUAGUUGUCCGAACUAUUUUAAAGUCUUUGCCCAACAUCAAAUCAACUCGAAAAAUGUGUAAUAAUGUUCCUAUAUUUGCUUCUAAAAAAUUGUCAAGGAAAGAAAAAAAAUAUUGCAAUCAAAUAAUUUUCUCAUGUUUUAUUAUACCACUAAAAAUAAUUUAUCAACACUCAAGUGAACUUAGUGGUGCACCCAACUUUUUUUCUUUGUUUAAAAAAAAAAGAAGAAAUUUUUAGGAUAUGAAUGAAAAAUAUAAAAUAAGGUUAAAGUUUUGAUAGGAUGAGAGGCAGUCAGAGGUUGCCGAACAAAGUAUUUUUGUCAUUUCAUAUCUAAUAUUUAUGUGAAAAAAAAAAAAAUUAGGGUAGGAAGAUUUAGGUCCAAUUUUGAUAAUUGUUUUUUAUAAUAGUUUCUUAAAAUUAUUUUAUGAUGUUUAAUAGAAUACUUGUAUGAUUAUGAAUGCAAAAUGUUUUAACAUAUUUUCUAUAUUUUAAAAAUAAAUUUUGUAUGUACUAUUUUAGUUUUAAUUAUUUUUUAUAUUUAUAUAAUUAUUUUUUAAGACAACUCAAGAAAAUAAGGGAAAAUAAUUGAAAGUAAAUAAAUAAUGUUAUCUGAAAAAUAUCAUAUUUUAUGUUUUUAAGAACAAAAAAUUAUUUUCUAUUCUUAAAAAUAGAAAAGAAAUAGAAAGUAUAAUACCAUAUUUUUAGAGAACAUCUUCUAGUUAUUUUUUGUUGUUUUUACUUGUAUUUUGAAGGUUAUUUUAAAAAAUAAUUAUAUAAAUAUGUAAAAUGAUUACAAAUAAAGCAUUAUAAAUAAAAAGAAAAUUAUUUUAAAAACAUAUUGAAAAAUAUAAAAAUAGGUUAAAAAAAUUUCAUGUUCUCAAAUAUACUUUGUUUUAUAAAACAUUAAAGAGAUAUUUUAAAAAAACACUUUCCAAAUAAAACCUUAAUAAACCUCUUUAUCAAAUCCUAAUCCUAACUCCAAUUCUAAUCAUAGUUAUUUUCCUUCUCUUUCAUUUCCUUUCCUUUUCUUUACUUCUAUUAUCUUCUUAUACAUAAAUAUUUAAACUAAGAUAUUACAUCAAUUUAUCAAACCCAUCUUAAGGAUCGUGUCAACAACUUUGGAUCCACUCAUCCAUCAUUGAUGAUGGAUUGAUCCAAGGAAAAAUAACAAUAUCUUCUCUACGUAAUUUAAGUCAUCGCCCCUUAGACUUGUACAAGUGAAUAACUUUUAGGAAAAAAAGAAAAAAAAAUUUAAUGCACAAAAAAUGGGAUGACGGGGGAAAGGAAACUCAUGCAUGUUCAUAGCUGUUACAUGAAUAGAUUGAAGAGCACACAAAAACAAUUAUUACAACAAUAAUGGAGUUGUCCUUUUGUUUAAUUAAUCAAGUAUUCAAGUUGGGGAAUGUACUAUACAUGGGACCAUAAAUUCAUUUAUUGUACAAAAUGUCUCAGAAUAAAAAUGUUACUUGGCUUACUGUUUUUACAUUCUUUUUUAAUUAAUUAAGUUGUAUAAAUAAUUAUGUGUCCAUUUGGAUAGAUUUUUUAUUUUCUAUUUUUAAAAAUAAAAAAUAACAAUAACUUCUAUAUCAAAUAUAAGAAGUCUUAGAAUCUUUUGUAAAAAAUGCAGUGAUUUUUUUUUAAAAAAAAUUGAGAUGUUAAAAAGUUUUAUCACCUCAAAUUUAAUUUAAAAAAAAAAACAAAUAGGAGCAUUAGACAAGUCUAAACUUUUUAUAUAAAAAAAAUCUAUUUUUUUUAUAUAGAAAUUGCUAUUUUAAAAAACAUAAAACAAAAAAUAUAUUUAAAUGAAACAUAAAUACUUCAAUAAAAUUUAUCAAAUAAUGACAUUUUACAUAAACCAAUAAUUAAAAUGAUAAUAAAAAAACUUGUAACAAAAAAUUAGACAUAGUAACGAGAUUUAAGACUAAUUAAUUUCAAAGAAAUUGGAAACAAAUGAUCAAGUCAUGUCAUUCGUGGGGAGAUCUGACACAUGUUUAGUGUAUGGGGGUGGAGUUAGAAAUAGGAUUCAAGGGGGCAAUACGAGAUAUAUUAGUUUUUCGAGGUUAAAUGUGAGCCAAAAAGUAACAUUUAACUUGCUGGUUGGUUUGAUCCUCUUUAAAAUUGAGGUUUUGGGAUCAAAAUCUCAUUGAAUGGUAGUUCUUUUAUUUUUUAGAGAGGGGGCAUCUACUCUGCUUGAGCCCUUUAGACCCAUUUUAAAGUCUUUGCCCAACAUGAAGUCAACUUUAUAUUUGUUUUGAAAAAAUAUUAUAUUCAGAUUACUUCAAGAAAGCUCAAGAGACCUAAUUAUUUAUUAUGAACUAAAGCGAUGAUGGUGUAUAUUGAGACAAAAUAAAAACUAAAACAUAUCAUAGAAUAUCCUUCUCCAUAGAAAGUUUUGAUGAGUAGCAACAAGAUGAUCAUGAUAGUAACAUGGUUGUGGAACAAUAUGAAAUCUUAUGUUAGUGUUAAUUUCAUGUUCUUAGAAACUGUAAAGCAAAUAUGAGGAGUAGUGAAAGAGACAUACUUUCAAGAAUUUAUUAAUUGUAUGAAGAUAUUUUUGGGACAGAGCAUAAUGAGAAAUCUAUGAGUAAGCACUAUGCAUCCCUUAAAGGGAUGUGGGACUAGACAGGGAAUCUACCAUACAUGGACCCAUAAAUUAAAUUAUUGUACAAAAUGUCUCAUAAGGAAAAUGUUACUUGCCUUAGUAUUUAUACAUUUGUUUUUAAUCAAUUAAGUUGAACAAAUUAUUAAGAGUCCAUUAGGAUUAUUUUUUUUAUUAACUUCCAUAUAAAAUAUAAGAAGUCUUAGAAUCUUAUGGUUUUUUUAAAAUUGAUUAAAAAAAUUUAUCACCUCAAAUUUCAAUUUUUUUUUUUAAAAUAGAAAUAUAAUGAAAGCCUAUAUUUUUUUAUAUAAGAAUUUCUAUUUUUUAUAUAAAAGUUUCUAUUUUUAAAAACAAAAAAAGAACAAAAAAUAUAUUUAGAUGAAGUGUAAAUACUUAAAUAAAAUUUAUCAAAUAAUGAUAUUUUACUUAAAUCAAUAAUUAAAAGCGAUAAUAAAAAACCUCAUAAAUAAAAAAGUAUAUUUAAUAAAGAGAUUUAAAACUAAUUAAUUUCAAAGAAAUUUGAAGCAAAGGACCAAGUCAUGUCAUUCACGGGGAUCCAACACAUGUUUAGUGCAUGCCCAAGUUUGUCCAAGUACUAUCAAAUAAUAAAUUUAUUAUCAACUUAACAACUCUUUAUUAAAGUCUUUGUCCAACAUGAAGACUAAGUUUGUCAAAGUACUGUCAAAUAUUAAAUUUAUUCUCAACUCAACAACUCCCAAAGUAAACAUUCGAAAUAAUUGCCCCUGCUGAAAAAUAUGUAAUCUUAUUCCUAUAAUUGCUCCAUAAAUUAUUAAGGAAAUAAAAAAAAUUUGCUAUAAAAUAAAUUUCUCAUAUUUUAUUAUACUAUUAAAAUUAAUUGGUCAGCACUUAGCAGUUAAUCUAAUCGUGCACCCCAAAUUUUUUUCUAUGUUCCAAAAAAAAGAAAAAAAAAAAAAAAACAAGAAGAAGAAGAAGAAGAAAUUUUUAGGAGAAUAGAAGGAAAUGAAUGAGAAAAAAAAGAAGGUAAAAUAAGAUCACGGUUUAGUCGGGAUGAGAGUUGAGAGGCUGAAGAACAAAGUAUUUUUUUCAUUUCAUAUCUAAGAAUUGUAUGAAAAAUAAAAUAAAAUAAAAUAAAGCUGAGGGUGAGAAGAUUUAGGUCUCGUUGAUAAUUGUUUUUUAAAAUAGUUUUUUAGAAUAGAUCUUUAAAACUGUUUUAUGAUAUUUUGUAGAACACAUAUAUGUUUGGGAAUGUCAAAUUUUUUAAACAUGCUUUUUAUGUUUUAAAUAUAAUUUAAAAAUAAAUUUUGUAUGUAACAUUUUAGUUUUAAUUAUUUUUCAUGUUUGUGUAAUUAUUUUUUAAAACAACUUAAGGAAAGAAGGGAAAACAAUUGAAAAUAACUAAAAAAAUGUUAUUCAAAACAUCAUAUUUUCAGUGUUUUUUUUUAAGAACCAAAAACUAUUUUCUAUUUUUAAAAACAUAAAAGAAGCAAAAAAAAUAUAUGACACUAUAUUUUAAGAGAACAUCUUUUGAUUAUUUUUAGUCGUUUUUAUUUGUUUUUUGAAAUCUAUUUUAAAAAAUAAUUAUAUAAAUAUAGAGAAUGAUUAAAAAUAAACAUUAUAGAUAAAAAAAUAUUUUAAAACUAUAUUUAAAAAUAUAAAAAAUAAAUUAAAAACAUUUCAGAUUUUCAAACAAAUUUUGUUCUAUAAAACAUUAAAGAAUACUUUUCUAAAAACUAUUUUUCAGAAUUAUUUUUAAAGAACAAUUUCCAAACAAAACCUUAACAAUUAUCUAUAUCAAAUUCUAAUCCCAACUCUAAUCCUAAUCUUAAUUAUUUUCCUUGUCUUUCCUUCCCUUCUUUUUCCUUCCCUUCUAUUCCCUUAUUAUAUAUAAGUAUUUAAAUUAAGACAUUAAAUCAGUUUAUCAAACCCAUCUUAAUCAAUCAGUUUAUCAUAAGCAACAUGUCAAAGACUUUUAAACCACUUGGUGGAUCCACUCAUCCAUCAUUCACGAUGGAUUAAUCCAUGGAAAGAUAACAACAUCUUCUUAGACUUGUACAUGUGGAUAACUAUUAGAAAAAAAAAAUUUAAUGCACAAAAAUUGGGAUGAAGAAAUAAAAUAAACUCAUCAAUGGUUACAGCUGGUACAUGAAUGAAUAGAUGGAAGAGAACACAACAUCCAAUCACAAAUAAUAGAUGGAAAACAAUUAUUAUUGUCCUUUUGUUUAAUUAAUCAACUAUUCAAGUUGGGGGAUGUACCAUACAUGGGACCAUGAAUUAAAUUAUUGUACAAAAUGUCUCAUAAGAAAAAUGGUGCUUCCCUUACUUUCUAUACAUUUGUUUUUAAUUAAUUAAGUUACAUAAAUAAUUAAGAGUCCAUUAGGAUGGAUUUUUUGUUUUCUAUUUUAGAAAAUAAAAAAUAAGGAUAACUUCUAUAUAAAAUAUAAAAAGUCUUAUAAUCUUAUAUAAAAAAAAUGCAAUGGUUUUUUGAAGUAAGUUUCUCAAUUCUUCAACCAAUUGCAAAACCGAAAUAUCUCUAGCAUUUUUCAACACAGCAUUAAGGCUUUCAACGAUCCCUAUCGUCAUGAUAUUAUAUCUUUUUCCGAUAGAAUAUGAAUGUGCCCAUCGAUCACCUCCUAUAUCCAUCAAAUAUCUUGCUGCUCUUGGGUCAAUCAUCUCUAGUUGUCCAAAUAUAAAAUUAAACUCUGAAACACGAUAAGCAUGGGCAGCAUCAUGAAAUAAUUUAUGAAUUACAAGAUUCUUGAACUUUGUCUUCAAAUUUUGUCCAACAUGAUAAAUGUAGACACCAUGCCUCGCAUGGGGAAAUACUUUAUGUACCGCUUUCUCAAUGCUACCAUGUCGAUCUGAUAUCACAAACAAAUCAUCAAUGUGUCCAAGUGCAUCAUGCAGUUUUUGUAAACACCACUCCCAUGAGGCAUCAUUUUAUGAAUCACCACUCCCAUGAUGGAUUGAUCCAAGGAAAAAUAACAAUAUCUUCUAUAUGUAAUUUAAGUCAUCGCCCCCUAGACUUGUACAAGUGAAUAACUAUUAGGAAAAAAAGAAAAAAAAAAAUUAAUGCACAAAAAAUGGGAUGACGGGGUAAAGGAAACUCAAGCAUGUUCAUAGCUGUUACAUGAAUAGAUUGAAGAGCACACAAAAACAAUUAUUACAACAAUAAUGGAGUUGUCCUUUUGUUUAAUUAAUCAAGUAUUCAAGUUGGGGAAUGUACUAUACAUGGGACCAUAAAUUCAUUUAUUGUACAAAAUGUUUCAGAAUAAAAAUGUUACUUGGCUUACUAUUUUUACAUUCUUUUUUAAUUAAUUAAGUUGUAUAAAUAAUUAAGUGUCCAUAUGGAUGGAUUUUUUAUUUUCUAUUUUUAAAAAUAAAAAAUAACAAUAGCUUCUAUAUAAAAUAUAAGAAGUCUUAUAAUCUUUUGUAAAAAAUGCAGUGAUUUUUUUUUAAAAAAAAAAUUGAGAUGUUAAAAAGUUUUAUCACCUCAAAUUUAAUUUAAAAAAAACAAAUAGGAGCAUUAGACAAGUCUAAACUUUUUAUAUAAAAAAAAUCUAUUUUUUUUAUAUAGAAAUUGCUAUUUUAAAAAACAUAAAACUAAAAAUAUAUUUAAAUGAAACAUAAAUACUUCAAUAAAAUUUAUCAAAUAAUGACAUUUUACAUAAACCAAUAAUUAAAAUGAUAAUAAAAAAACUUGUAACAAAAAAUUAGACAUAGUAACGAGAUUUAAGACUAAUUAAUUUCAAAGAAAUUGGAAACAAAUGAUCAAGUCAUGUCAUUCGUGGGGAGAUCUGACACAUGUUUAGUGUAUGGGGGUGGAGUUAGAAAUAGGAUUCAAGGGGGCAAUACGAGAUAUAUUAGUUUUUCGAGGUUAAAUGUGAGCCAAAAAGUAACAUUUAAUUUGCUGGUUGGUUUGAUCCUCUUUAAAAUUAAGGUCUUGGGAUCAAAAUCUCAUUGAAUGGUAGUUCUUUUAUUUUUUUAGAGAGGGGGGACAUCUGCUCUGUCUGAGCCCUUCAGACCCAUUUUAAAGUCUUUGGUCAUGAAGUCUAUAUUUGUUUUGAAAAAAAAUAUUAUAUUCAGAUUACUUCAAGAAAGCUCAAGAGACCUAAUUAUUUAUUAUGAAUUAAAGCAAUGAUGUUGUAUAUCGAGACAAAGGAAAAACUAAAACAUCUCAUAGAAUAUCCUUCUCCCUAGAAAGUUUUGAUGAGUAGCAAUCAUGAUUCACAAUAGAUUAAUCCAUGGAAAGAUAACAACAUCUUCUUAGACUUGUACAUGUGGAUAGCUAUUAGAAAAAAAAAAAAAAAAUUAAUGCACAAAAAUUGGGAUGAAGAAAUAAAAUAAACUCAUCAAUGGUUACAGCUGGUACAUGAAUGAAUAGAUGGAAGAGAACACAACAUCCAAUCACAAAUAAUAGAUGUAAAACAAUUAUUAUUGUCCUUUUGUUUAAUUAAUCAACUAUUCAAGUUGGGGGAUGUGCCACACAUGGGACCAUGAAUUAAAUUAUUGUACAAAAUGUCUCAUAAGAAAAAUGUUGUUUCCCUUACUUUCUAUACAUUUUUUUUAACUAAUUAAGUUAUAUAAAUAAUUAAGAGUCAUUAGGAUGGAUUUUUUAUUUUCUAUUUUAAAAAAUAAAAAAUAAGGAUAACUUCUACAUAAAAUAUAAAAACUUAUAAUCUUAUAUAAAAAAAUGCAAUAGUUUUUUAAAAUUGAUUAAAAAAUUGAGAUACUAAAAAAAAUUAUCACCUCAAAUUUUGAAAUUUAUUUAAAAAAUUUAGAAACAUAAUCUAAAUUUAUAUUUUUUUUAUAUAAGAGUUUCUAUUUUUUAUAUAAAAAUUUCAUUUUUAAAAAAUAAAAAACUGAAAAAUAUAUAUAAGUAAAGUGUAAAUACUUAAAUAAAAUUUAUCAAAUAAUGACAUUUUACUUAAACCUAUACUUAAAAGUGACAAUAAAAAAACUCAUAAAUAAAAAAAGUAUACUUAGUAAAAGAUUUAAGAUUGAUUAAUUUAAAAAAAAAAAAUUGAAACAAAGACCAAGUCAUGUCAUUCAUUGAGAUCCGACAUAGUUUGUCCAAGUUCUGUCAAAUAAUAAAAUUAUUAUCAACUCAACAACUCGUACGAAAACAAUUGAAAUAAUUGUCCAUGUUGGACUCAUUUUAAAGUCUUUGCCUAGCAUGAGGUCCAAAUUUGUCUAUGGAUCAACUCAAUAACUCUCUGAGUACAAAAACAAUCAAAAUAAUUGCCCGACCCAUUUUAAAGUCUUUGCCCAACAUCAAAUCAACUCGAAAAAUGUGUAAUCAUGUUCCUAUAUUUGCUUCCAAAAAAUGUCAAGGAAAGAAAAAAAAAAUUGCUAUCAAAUAAUUUUCUCAUAUUUUAUUAUACAACUAAAAAUAAUUUAUCAACACUCAACAGUGAACUUAGUCGUGCACCCAACUUUUUUUCUUUGUUUUUUUUAAAAAAAGAAGAAAGUUUUAGGAGAAUAGAAGGAAAUGAAUGAAAAAUAUAAAAUAAGGUUAAGGUUUUCAUAGGAUGAGAGGCACUCAAAGGUUGACGAACAAAGUAUUUUUGUCAUUUCAUAUCUAAGAUUUAUGUGAAAAAAAGAAAGAAGAUGAGGGUAGGAAGAUUUAGGUCCAAUUUUGAUGCUUGUUUUUUAAAAUAGUUUUGAAAAACGGUUUUUGAUAAUAGUUUUUUAAAAUUGUUUUAUAAUGUUUUAUAGAACACUUAUUUGGGAAUGUAAAAUGUUUGAACAUAUUUUCUACAUUUUAAAAAUAAAUUUUGUAUGUACUAUUUUAGUUUUAAUUAUUUUUCAUAUUUAUAUAAUUAUUUUUUAAGACAACUCAAGAAAAUAAGGGAAAACAAUUGAAAGUAAAUAAAUAAUGUUAUCUAAAAAACAUCAUAUUUUUUGUUUUUAAGAAUAAAAUAUUGUUUUCCAUUCUUAAAAAUAGAAAAGAAGUAGAAAAUAUAAUACUAUAUUUUUAGAGAACAUCUUGUAAUUAUUUUUACUUUUUUUUUUAAGUUUAUUUUAAAAGAUAAUUAUAUAAAUAUGUAAAAUGAUUAUCUUUAUCAAAUUUUUUAGAAUUAUUUUUAAAAAACACUUUCCAAAUAAAACCUUAAUAAAUCUCUUUAUCAAAUCCUAAUCCUAACUUCAAUUCUAGUCAUAAUUAUUUUCCUUCUCUUUCCUUUCCUUUCCUUUCCUUUCCUUUCCUUCUCUUCUUAUACAUAAAUAUUUAAACUAAGACAUUACAUCAAUUUAUCAAAUCCAUCUUAAGGAUCAUGUCAACAACUUUUAAACCACUUGGUGGAUCCACUCAUCCAUCAUUGAUGAUGGAUUGAUCCAAGGAAAAAUAACAAUAUCUUCUAUAUGUAACUUAAGUCAUCUCACCAUAGCUAUCAAAGAAAAAAAAAAACAAAAAACAAAAUUUAAUGCACAAAAAUGGGAUGAGGGCGUAUAAGAAACUAAUGAAUGGUUAUACAUGAAUAGAUUGAAGAUAACACAACUACCAUCACAAAUGAUAGAUGAAAAACAAGCAUUACAACAAUAAUGAGCUUGUCCUUUUGCAACUAUUCUUGUUGGGAAAUAUACCACACAUGGGGCCAUGAAUUAAAUUAUUGUACAAAAUGUCUCAUAAUAAAAAUGUUACUUGCCUUACUAUUUAUAUAUUUUUUAAUUAAUUAAGUUGUAUAAAUAUUAAGUGUCUAUUUGGAUAGAUUUUUUAUUUUCUAUUUUUAAAAAUAAAAAAUAACAAUAACUUCAAUAUAAAAUAUAAGAAGUCUUAAGAGUUUUAUAUAAAAAAAAUGAAAUGUUUUUUUUUUUUUAAAAAAAAUGGAUCAAAUAUUUGAGAUAUUAAAAAAGUUUUAUCACCUCAAAUUUAAUUUUUUAUUUUUUAUUUUUAAAAAAUGGGAGCAUAAGACAAGUCUAAACCUUUUUGUAUAAAAAUUUCUAUUUUUAUAUAAAAGUUUCUAAUUUUAAAAAGGGAAAAUAAAAAAUAUAUCUAAAUGAAGCAUAAAUGCUUAAAUAAAAUUUAUUAAAUAAUAACAUUUUACUUAAACAAGUAGCAUUUGUAUGUAGCCUACUGUUGUAGUUGACCUAAUCAUGCACCCGAAAUUUUUUCCUUUUCUUCUUUGUUUUCAAAAGAAGGAUUUGGUAGGAUGAGAUCUGGGAGGUUGAAGAACAAAAUAUUUUUGUCAUUUCAUACUUAAGAUUUAUAUGGGAAAAAGAAAGAAAUUAUGUUUUGUUUAACACAUUUUAGGUUCCCAAACAGUUUUUAACUUAUUUUCUAUAUUUUUAAAAAAAAUUAUAUGUGCUAUUUUUGUUUUAAUCAUUUUUCAUAUUUAUAUACUUAUUUUUUAAAACAACUCAAGAAGUAAAAACAACUGAAAACAACUAAAAUAUUUUUUAAAAAACAUCAUAUUUUCAAUUUUUAAAAAUAAAAAAAUUGUUUUCUAUUCUUAAAAACAUAAAACAAUUUAAAAAAAGAAAAUAUAGUAUUUUCAAAUAAUACAUUUUAGUUAUUUUAAUUUGUUUUCACUUUUUGUAUGGAUAAAAUGUUAUUUUAAAGUCAUAUUUAAAAAUAUAAAAAAUAAGUUAAAAACAUUUCAAGUUAUCAAAUAGACUUUGUUUUAUAAAACAGAUAAAUUAGUUUUCAAAAAUUGUUUUUCAGAAAUGUUUUUAAAAACACUUAUCAAACAAAACCUUAACAAUUUUCUUUAUCAAAUCUUAGUCCUCACUCUAAUCCUAAUCAUAAGAAUUUCCCAUCUCUUUCGUCUCCUUCCCUUCUAUUCUCUUAUUACAUAUAAGUAUCUAAAUUAAGACAUUAAAUCAAUUUAUCAAACCCAUCUUAAGGAUUGUGUCAAAACUUUUAUAUCACUUGAUGGAUCCGCUCAUCCAUCAUUCAUUAUCGAUUAAUCAACAUAAAGAUAACAAUAUCUUAUAUAUAUGUAAUUUAAAUCAUCUCACCCUAGAUUUGUAGAUGUGAAAUAGAUAUUAGAAAAAAACAAAAUUUAAUGCACAAAAAUUGGGAUGAGGGGGUAAAAGAAACUCAACAAUGUUUACUAUUGGUGCAUGAAUAGAUUGCAGAGGACACAAUUAUCAUUGUUUAAUUAACAACUAUUCUAAUUGGAGAAUGUACCAUACAUGGGUCCAUGAAUAUACAUUUAAAUGGACUCAUUAUGGACAGAAUGAGACCAACGAAUACACAUUCAAAUGGACUGAGACCAACAAGGAAAAUUAUCACCAUUCAAAUGGAUAGUGAUGAUCCAGACAGAAUGCAAAUCAGAUUUGGAGGCUUAGAUUUCAGUGUUUUUCGACGAGUUGGUUCACAAUGCAUAUCAUGUUCUUUAACCUGUAUGUGGAGAGAUACAUAGGCCUAUAGGUAAACAACCACAAAGAGCCCUUUUGGACUUACACAAUAAAUUAAAGAAACAAAUAUGCAAAUUAAGGAAACAAACAUGCGGUAAGGAUACCAUAAAAAUAAGAGAAAUAUUUGAAGGAAUAAUUUAUGUUUUGACUUUCUAUUAAAAUGAUUUAUAGAAGUCUUUGUUAAAGAAAAUACAAGACAUGAUAAUAGGAACUAAAUAACUACUCCAACUAACCUACAACCAAGCUUUCUUGAUUUACAAGAGUUGAUUUUAUAUUUGCAGAUAAAACUGCUAACAAAUCUCUAAGAAUUCAACAAUAUCUCCUGUAAAUCUUCUAUUUGAAUCCCUAGAUAGGACUGAGCAACAAGCAACAUGGUUGUUGUCCAUGGGUGGUCAAAUUUAUCAGUAACCCAAGACUUCCAUGCUCUCAAAAGCUCCAUUUUAAUCAAAGGUUGCUGAGAAAAUUACUAACAGGCUAGCAGAAGACCACUUAUCACCAGAUCUAGAAUUAGCAUCAAACAAUAACACAACCCAGGAAAACAAAAACAUUAUUUACAUGCUUCACUAAUGAUAUGCAUUGAUAACCAUAACUUCUGGGGAUAUGAUGCUGCUCAACAAGACAAUGCAUUUGUGAAGCUCAGACGAAUCGCAAAAAUCAUAGAGGAAAAUCUCUUGAGCAUUACCACAUAUAAGGUACAAGAAAGAAAAAGUCGAUGUAUGUGAUCUAUAGCUUGGGACUGAGAUGGAUCAGUGUUGAAUAUUUUCCUAAAAUAAGCAGACUAAUUACAUUAAGAAAUAUUGAUUGAUAUAGAACUUUAACCUCAACAUUCAGAAUUAAUUAGGAAGAAGUUGAAAAUACAGAAAACCUGAGGGAAGGAGCUAAGACACGGAUGGAGGGAUUGGCUUCACAGCAUUUUGGAUCCGCUGGAAUGCCACUCUCACUCUUUCCUUGAGGCCUUCAUUUUCGCUCUCAACAUUCCCACUCUGUUUAUCAAGAUGCACCACAUUUCCAUCAACGCUUAUCACCAGGUUCCCAUUCCCUUCCAACUUCACAUCUCCAAACAGAGAAACAAGAAGUGCGUGGAUAACCUUUUCUGCUUUCUUCCCAUUUUCUUCUUCAGUUUUUAUGGCCUCUGAUUCAACUAUUACCUUGGGGAUCUCAAGACUGAUAUUUAAAACUAGAGCCACAAUGGAGUCAGAGACCAUGUCACUAAUAGGAUCUGAUGUCCAAUGCAGUGAAAUAUGCUUCUCUGAGUCAUGCUUCACUGUCACCCGUUCAUGGACUCGAAAAGCUGGAACCUCAGAUUCUUCAUCUGGCAAUGACUCAACACUCUCAUAUAUCUGCUUCAGCCUGUGCUUUAUUACACCAAAGGCACCAGUGUAAGGAAUAGUAAUCCUCUGGGUGACAUUUGCCGUGGAUAGCUGCCAGAAGACAUGGAGAUCGUCAGGUGCCAUUAUCUGAUAAGUGAACCCUUUCUUUACCAGUAAACCACUGACAGUUUCACCAACUUCUGGGGUCUUUUCAGCCAGCCUCCCAAUGGUUUUUGCCAUUUUUUCAGAGUUGAAAUACAUUUCAACUGACUGACAGUUCUUUGGGGAAAUAAUUUUGGUGUUGCAGUCAGCAAACUGGGUGAUAAGCUUCUGUUUGAGCCUCCCCAUCUCAUUAGCUUCUCCAUGAACAAGAAUGAUGUUAGGUGGCAUGAGCUCCUUCAAGAAUGUACUUGUCUGUGCAAAAUCUGCAUGGGCAGAGAAAGAAAUGUAAUGGACCUGCAUGUUGAGGGGAGCAGUAAGACCAUUCAUUAAAGUAACUUCCUUGGGUUCAUUAAUGAUGGUUUUUGCCAAUGUCCCUCCCACGACAUACCCAGGUAUAACACAUGCAUUUUUCUUAUCAGAGCACCACAUAUCAAACAGUUGUCUUGACAACCCACUCUGAAGCCCACCCGGGCUCGCCAUCACCACUGAUGGACCUACAUCAUUAAAAUUCUCAAUGCUCUUUAAGGGUGAUAUGUGCUUGAAGUCAAAGGGAUUCGAAUUUGCAAAUUGGUUGCGGAUCCUCUCAUUCAUGGAAUUGAUAUAUGUCUGGUAAACAGCCAUGCACCUUUUUGCAAGGGGGGAAGCAUAAUAUAUGGGGACGUUAUGGAGCUCAGGAUGGUUAGACCAAUACUCAUCAAGGAUAAGAAGGAGUUCUUGGGCACGACCUAGAGCAUAUGCAGGGAUUAGAACACGGCCCCCUUGAGAAAUGGUUGAGUGGAUGACAUCUGUGAAGCGCUUUUCUCGCACAUGCCGAGGCUGAUGGAGUUGGACACCAUAAGUGGAUUCAAUUAUACAAAUAUCAGGGCAGAACUGUGGGAUCUCAGCAGCACGGAGAUGACGAUCUUCUUCGCGAGAAUAGUCUCCAGUGUAAAGUACUCGGACACCAGCAAUAUCAACCAUAAACAUGGCAGCACCAAGGACGUGGCCAGCUGUGUAACACCAAAAUCGUAUACCAUUUACUUCUAAAGUCUGAUGGAAAUCAAUAACCUGCAGAAGGGAGAUUUAAUUACAGUUACAGGAAGAUUAAAUGAGAUAAUAAAAUUAAGCUACAUAUCUAAAGUCAAUUGUUGUAAAUGGCCCAACAUUCUGCAAUUGAUCAGGAUUAUAUGCAACCAAUAUUUUGGCAUAUGAGAUACACACACACACACCAUAUUGCUUUUUUUAGUGAACAAGUUUUAUAUUUUAUUAGAUUAGUUAUGUAACAAUUUUGAAACUAAAUUCAGAACAAUAGAAAAAUUGUUGUUGUGGAACACAAAACAUGAAUUAAUAUUAGAAGUAUAGCCAUUUAAAUCUUAAUAGACUAAUUCCUACUAUGUUAGUUUUAUUUGUCCAGAACUGAAGACAAAACCCAUCUGUUCUCAUGGAAGGUGAAGUACAGAAAGCCCACAUAUGUUAUAGAGAUCUAAAACAGUAGUACUUACACUCAGGUAGAAUCUAUUUUUCAGGUAUGAAUGUCUAUGGUAGAAAGAUUAAGGCUUUAGGACAAGGUAGUAGACAUUUGUGACACUAUUAAUUUCAAAUAAGAGUCCCAAGAUAGAACAUUAGAGCUAAUUGCAAAUUUAAAUAACCAGAUUUAAGCUAAUCUGUGAUACAUGGACCAUUGUGACCAUAACUUUUGUGUUUUUUUUUUUUUGAUAGUUAUUGUAACCAUAACCUUUUUUUUUCCUGAUAGACAUUGUGACCAUAACUUUUCAGGCCUUUGAAAAAGGAAGUGCAAGAGAAGGAUUUCUCAUCCUUCCCUACUUUACAAAACCUGAUUUAAAAAUGGAAGUGCAACUGUGCAAGGGAAGGAUGAGAAAUCCUUCCUUACUUUACAAAACCUGAUCAAAACAGAGGAAAAGAAAUACUCUCCAAUAAACAUCAAAACAACUCGACAUUGCAAUUUUAACACUUCGGAUCUACAAGUUGACAUCCAAUCAAGUUGAGUUAUGUUGAGAAAUUCAUGCCUUAAAACAGAUAGUUACAUUAAAGGCACAACCAUAAUCUUACAUUACAUGCAUCCAAUUAUCAUAAAUUCACAACAUAAAAAAAAAAAAAAAAAAUACGUUUUGAAAAAUAGAAUCAAAGGCUUCAUUUUUUAUUUUUUAUUUUUUGAUAGGUAAAUUUUGUUCCCAUUGGGACUUGAACUUGGAACCUCCCGCAAACCCUCCCCAUCCCUUUACCACCUGACCCAGGCCUGAAGGGCACCAAAGGCUUAGGCUUCAUUCAACAUGACAUAUAAUAAUACCUAACAAACCUUCUCAGUCAGGGUAUUAGACAACUGAUUAGGAACUAUAGAAUCAUCAUGCUCUUUUUAACUAAGAACACUUUCCAGGUAAGAUAUUAUACGAGUUCUAAGAAAGCAACAAGUUCACAAAAAAUUAUAAAUAAAAACAAUACUAACAUUGUCAAGGCAUAAAAUAGAGCAACAAACAGCAUUAGGAUAGUUGAUGAAAGACAAAAAUAAUCCACAUAAAAGAGUAAAACAAGUAGCAUUGGAUUUCUUUCAUUUUAUUUUUUAUUUUAUAUAUUUUUGGUUUGGGGGCGGGGGUGGGGGGGGGGAGGGGGGGUGGGGGGGGGGGGGGAAGGGAAUGGCCAAAAAGCCAAAAAAAAAAAAUAUUUUUUUUAAAAAAAUAUUUUAAAAAAAAAAAACCCCCCAAAAAUUACAUUUGGGGCAUUUUUGGGGGGAAAAAUGAAAAAAANNNNNNNNNNNNNNNNNNNNNNNNNNNNNNNNNNNNNNNNNNNNNNNNNNNNNNNNNNNNNNNNNNNNNNNNNNNNNNNNNNNNNNNNNNNNNNNNNNNNGGGGAUGGCGAGAUAGGCAAAUAAGAAUAUAUAUGUAUAUAAUAAAUAUAUGUAAGAAAAGAAAAGCCCCGUAUAAGUAGCAUUGGAGCAUUUGAUGGUGAGAAAUAUGAAAAGAUUUCCAUGACUAGGAGUAAUUUCUAGUCGAUACUUGUUGUUUAGCUCAGUGCCUUUGGUGGAAGAAAACACAUAGGAUCUUUGAGGGUAAAGAGGUUUUUGAAGUUGAGGAAAAAGAAGAAGAAAAAUAGAAAGUUCUGGUCAUUGUUCCAAAUCCAAGUUUCCAUGGAAUACAGUAGAUGGAAGAACAUUAUUAUAUUCCUCUGGAUGAUAAGAAAUAUUAAAUACAAUAAAACUUAAAAGAUAACAUUUACAAAAAUUUUCAAAACAAAAAAUAAAAAGAUGAAAAAAGCCAAAUCAAAGUCACUCACCACCAACCAGGGAAAGGGAUGCAUUUAGAUUAGCUUCAAAACCAGUUUGGACGUGAGGAGAAAUAUUACAAGCCUUAAAAAAAUGGAGAUUGAAACAUACAUCUAUAAACAAAAAUAAACGCACCUCAAUUUUAUCCAUGGAGCGAAGAAUGUCUUGUUCAUCAUACAACAUAUCUUCAACUGAAACUUUGCUCACUUUUACAUAAUCAGACAAAAGCAACUUGUAGAUAGCCUUCGUUGCAUGAGUCAUAAAAACUCGCCCUUUGAAUGUGGUCUAAUGAACAAAUUCAAAUAUUUUAGCUUAUUUAAAAACAUAUGCAAAGUAAUUGCAUAAAAUUUGACUAAGAAAAUUGCCAACCUUCUCCAGGAAAUAUGGAAGGGAUGCAGCAUGAUCCAAGUGAAAGCUGCACAGGAAAUGCAACACAUUACAAUGCAAGAAAGUGGAAAGCACAUCUAAAAGAACAGGGGAAGUUUCAGAUGAGAAAGUAGAGUAGAUAGACAAAAAGAAAAACUAAAGAUGAAAGUUCCACCAAAAAGUUUCAAGAUCUACAAAAGUUCAUUGACAAGACAGACGUGCAAGAUAUCAAAUGAAAUGAUUGUUAAGAAAAUAUGCUGGUACAUGACACAACUAAGAGCACUGCUCAGAGAUAAGUAUGUGAUUACCAUAAAUCCAUUUACUGGGAAGAAACAAUGCUGAGAAAAGCAAUGGGAACUUCAACAUAAUCAAAGAAGGUGAAUGAUUGGGGUUUUUCUGAAGGAAUUUUAGCUGAUAGAUUCAAUUAUUUGUAACCUCACGCGCUCUUACAUAUGAAAGUACAUGUUCAAGUUUGUGUAUGGACACUUUAUGCAGAGAUGCAAAUGGGUAGGUCCAUUAACCCUUUCAUCCCUCCAGAACCCCAGAAAAGGAACCUGUAAGGCCAUUGUAUAGAGUGAUCCCUCUAAUACAGCUACAGAGAAUACUCUCAAAACCAUGCUUAUAGUAGUAGAUCACUAACUAUUGAUGUGCUUUCAACCAUUUCAAGAGCGUUCAUCAGCCAUGCAGUCAGAAUUUCAACUGGAGUAAAGUUGGGCUCAAGAAAGUCUACUCAAAGCCGAAAAAAUCUCAAGGCCAGACAAGAGCCCAGGGAUUUCAAUUUUAGGAAGCUAUUUCAUACGAGGAAAGGAAUCUCCAAGAGUUUAUUCCUUGAGAAAAAAGAAAUAUUAGCGAAUGGAAUGAAGAAGCCAUUGAGAAGCAGGAGAUAUUCAGAUAAUGGCUUAAAGUUUGGGUGGUAGAUGUAGUCUCAUUACUUUAAAGAUAUAUCUGCAGUGCUCCUAAUAGCACCAGAUAUUGAUAAGAGAAGGUACGGAUGGAGUACUUGCAGCUGGUCCUAGUCAAAUCUUUAUAUGCUUUAACAAUAGUUGUUUGGUCACUUUUUCUAAGUAAGGCCAUUCAGGACAGAAUUCAUUAAAUGAUUUUUUUUUUUUUUUUUUGGCAGAAAUAUGACCAUACCCAGGUAUAUAGUCCAAUAUAAAAGAACAAUCAUGAUAUUCUCUAAAUUUCAUUUCUCAAUUCAGCAGAUCACUAAGUUAUAAAAACAAAUAACAUUACAAUAUUCAACAAGGAAAAAGAAUAUACUGUGUCACCAAAAGGACAUCAAUGGUUGAAGGAUCAAUCUCAUCAAAGUAUGGCAAAGCAGCCAUGCCUGAGUAUGCGGGAUGAAUUCCACAGUCAAACUAUCAUCACAGAACAGGAACAAAAUAGAAACAAACAAAUUAUAAAAAAUAUCGAAAACAAAGUAUAAAAACUAGCAACCAAAAUAAACGAAUAAUGCAUUAUGGUAUACCAAUAUGGUUUUCCCUUUAUAGGACAUGUAGACACAGGAACGGCCCACUUCAUUUCCAGCACCUAGAGGGGUAAUAAUCAGCUGGUCUCCUCUUGUUAAUGAGGAAUCUGGUCUCUUCAAAGACUGUGAUGGCCCUGUAGAUGCCAUUCUUCAACUGAACAAUGCUCAGACCCCUUCAAUUAACACCACUCUAUAUUCAUGCAAAAUGCUCUGCAACUGAUUAAAAAAUACAAAAAAAAAAAAGAUUCAAAAAAAAAAAAAAAAAAAAACGCUUCAUCAUAAAUAAAAUGAUACCCAAAAAUAAAUACAAUUCCAGCAAAAGACAUUUUUUCUCUUGGCAACUCCAGUUAUUUUGGUGAAUAUAUUUCUGUUAAGCUUGGGAAAAAUAAAUUUUGACUUUCAGUAAAAUAACUCUGUACAGUUGAAAUUUAUAUUUCCCUGAGAACAUCUUCACUAGAAAUAACCUAUCUCCCCAAUUGAAGCUCAAAAUUUAAAAUCCAGUACGAGAAAGCACUGUUUGUUUGCUGAGAAAUUGCAGAACCAAAAAUUUAAAUCUUACAGCUCUCAGCGCUCAUCCCCCUAGAAAGCAACAUAAAAGCGCAAGAUUCAAUUGCUUCAUUUCCCUCUCUCUCCUCACUUUUCUCAGCAACCAAACACAACAACCUUAUAUAAAUAAGGAGAGAGAGUGAAGUAGAAGAAAGAAGAAACUCAAAACUUAUAAAAAAAAAAGCAUAGUAUGAAGGCAAUUAUAAGAGAUUCAAAAUUUUCAACUCACUUGGUUGCAUUUCCCACGAGUUUCUCGGGAACCAAACAGAGGGGAGGAAGAAAAAACAUAAACUUCAGAACAAAGAAAGAAGAAAUGCAUAGAAAAUAGCAGAGGGAGAAAGUUUCGAGAGAGUUAGAGAGGUUACAGUUAUGAAAUGAUUUCAGACCAUGCAAAGGAAGAGAGUGAACUAAAACCCCAAUUUUGAGAAGAUGCUUCCCUCUUUGCCUCACCCUCUGAAAGAUUGAUAAAUACCGGGCUGGAAUGGUCGGUCCGGAUGUGAGCCGGGUUUGAUCUGAUGUGUGCCUCCGGUUUAAGCCAUUUCGUUAUUCUUUUACUUUAUUUUUUUCCACAAAAUUUUAAUUUCAAAGCCAAUAUUAACAUUUUAAUAAAAUAUAGCCUUAAAAAAUAUGAGAAUUAUUUAUUAGAUAUCUUUCAAGAAAAAAAGAAUUGAAGGCCUCAUAGCAAAUAUUUUACUAAAAAAAUUUUUGAAAAAGAAAAAUAAUUAUCUAACCUUAAUAUCUUAAAAGAUAAAGAGACUUCAAGUAUAUGAUAAUUUCGAGACGUGAGUCAAUAAAAAUAGAAAUUAUAAAAAGUGAAUUGAUAAAAAUAGAAAUUAUAUUAUGAAUAAUUUUUGUUUGGUAUAUAUACAUAUAAUGUAUAUGUUCGUGGGUUGUUAAGGAUUUUUAAAAAUAUUAUUAUUUUAUGUAUUUAUUGAAGUUAUUAAUUUAGUAUAUUGGUCCAAGUUGAGACCAGAAUAUUUUAUUAUUCAAGCAAUUUAUAAACAUUCAUUUAUCAAUGUUUUGUUUUAACUUAAUGUAACAUCAAAAUUUUUAGGUUAUGUUUGGUUUUCGGAAAAUAGUUUUUUCAUAUUUAGUUUUACUAUAAAAACUAGUGAAAAAAAAUAAAAUAUAAUUAAAAUUAAUUAGAAUAUUGUACAUUUUAAAAUUAUUUAAUUUUUAUAUAAUGGAAGAAAAUAAAUUAAAUGAGUUUAGAGAAGCAUAUAAAAUAAUUUAUUAACUUGGACUCUAUUUUUUUAUUUUCCUUUACUUUUUCCUUCUUCUCACUUUUUCAUUUUAUUUUAUUUUCAUCACAUUUUCCCUCAAAUUUUUUGAGAACCAAACAUAACUUUAAACUUUUGCAUCAAAUUGACAACUUAUCAAAUUCGCACUAUCCUUUCUCAAACAUGAAAGAGAAUGACAGUGAAAAGUUUCUAAAACUUCCAUUGCCCAAAUAGGUCUUUGUCAUACAUCACUCGAACCCAACACAAUAUUCAGAGCUCCCAAGAAGAGAACAAGUCUCCCUACCAAGUGAUGUUACUAGUUCCAGUACUUGCGCUGUUUGGAUGUCUUGUCCAGCCUUAGAAUCAAUGCCAUUACCCAACAAGAAGAAAACUUAGUUUUCAGCAUGCUUGAAGAAAAUUUAUUCAGCAACUAUAACUUAUCCUCUAGCUUCAGCUUCUUCUAGCUCACCGAGCUUUCAGGUAAGAGAGUAUUUUGUGUAGCAAUCAAAACAGCCCCAGCAUCUUUAUUCUCAGAUUUUCCACCAGUUUGAUCUGAAGCUUAAUCCCAGAUUGGAAGGUAGAGCUUUUCUCUUCUUUCUGCAAUUGAAGGUGCAGAUUCUGCAAGUUCUGGGGAAACAUCUCAGCUUGAGCGAAUUGUAGACGUUCAUUCUGUGCAUGGAUUUGGAGUUGCUCCAAUUCUUCCUACUUCUUGGCAAGCUUGACAGUCUUCAAGGAGUUCUUGAAAAAGAAUCUGAAGUACAUCUAUGAACAAUCACAUAUGCAUUUGGGCAAUCUAUAGGUUCUCCAUCUGCUCUCAUCGCUGAACUACCACAUUCCUUCAGAUAAAUGGACCUGCCACCUCUGGUUUAUUAAAGACUAAAACAAUUUCCGUUGAACAGGUCUUUGCAUAAACCUUCUUUGGGGCAGGAGACUGAUGUGGAGUAUACUUAAGUCGUUUUCAGAUUAGUAUUUGAAUUGACCUUCUGAGGGGUGCCAAGUGCAAUUCACCAAAAUCCCAAACUGGAAUUAGUCCAUCUCCCAUUUCCUUUGAAAUACUCAACAAUUUAGUUUCUUUUUCUAUCAAGUUUGCCUUCAACUUUUCAAUAUCAGCCUACAUUUUCUCUAGUUUCGUCUGUGGUUCAGCUUGUAUUGGACUGGGUCUAGAUUUUGCGUGUUCUACAUGCUCAUAAGUGCUUCCAAACUACACCAUGUCCUGAACAUAUUCUUUCUGAUACCUGACCUUGGCAUCAAGAGCAGAUUUUAAAUGUCUCAUCUUUAAGACCAGAUUACUACUUAUGAAGUNNNNNNNNNNNNNNNNNNNNNNNNNNNNNNNNNNNNNNNNNNNNNNNNNNNNNNNNNNNNNNNNNAAGAUAGACUGGCUCUCUACAUCAGCUCACAUUGAUUUGUUUGGAGUUGCCCAAUUUCUUUGGCAAAUCUUCAUUUUCGUGUCUCGAAUUGUGGUUCAGUUUCCUUACUUCUUCUACCGCUGGACAUUCCAAAACAAAACUUGCAAAAGCUUGAAUGGCUUCUAAACUUUCUGCCAAUUCAGAAUUUUCCAACUGCAGGUUCACAUUAGAGUUCUUUUAACUCCUCUGCUUCAGCAGCCUCAAAGCAUUCCUUUUUAGCAGCUUCACGCUCUUCUGUUGCAAAUCCUCUUUGAUCACUCUCAAUAAUUACCAAUAAUUUUUGCUUGGGUUGAAGAACAAACCUUCUUGGUGUAUACCUUAAAGGAAUCGCAGUUUCAUUAAAUGUUUCACCCAGUCAUUCAAUAGUGAAGACCCUCAGCGCAUCCCCAGCAGCAGCAACCACACCUUCAGCACACUGAUCAGAUGAAAAUGAUGCAGCAAAUUCAAGUGUCUCAUAAGAAAGCGGUGUCAACAGAAAAUGCCCUCAGUGAAUAUAGCCAAGCCGAGGGUGGCUUGACAAGCAUAGCAUUGCACGUUGGCCUCUCACAAUGACAGAGAAUAUCUUUGGGGCUCUUAGUCCUAAGGAUCGGGAAUGAGCAUCAGAGAGCUGACCUGUCGCCAUAUCUACCACCAGUCUGAACAAAACUCCAUUCUGCGAACCAACAUUAAGAAAAAGACUAGCAGGGCGAUCAGCACCAACCUUAUCACCUACUGAUGCCUGAACUUCGAGAGAGAGAUUCUGGAGGAAAAGAAACACUUUGCAUACUCAAAAUCUGCAUACAGUCAUCAGGAUCCAAAGACGAGAUACGAAUAGUGUUGUCACAUUAUCCGACUGCGAGAAAAUGAGAUCUGUCUUCCUUCAGGAACCGGGGCAAUGUUAGAACAAGCCACAUCCCCAGACAUUUCAUGCUUCUCAACCUCCAUCAACUGACCAGUCAUAUCCACCUCGAAAUAUAUAAGCUCUCCUUCACUCAGUGCAAUAACCACUUGAAGCCUAUUGGGACCAACUUUGAUGGUUGUCCUCUUUCCAGGAGUUCUCCACUCGUUAAUGCGCCUGCCUUCUCUUACAUAACGGAAACCACUAGGGUGAACUCGCGGCAAGGAAUCAUCAUCACCUAUCGAAGAAACAGCAAGGGAUGCUGUAGCAUCAAGAAAACCACUAUCGCUUCUUCAACCGUGUCACCAAUUGAAAGCACAAGAGUAGCAUUUGCAAUUGAAACAACACUAUAUGCAUCAGACUCAUCAUCGACAUUCUUGCUAUCGCUUCUAAAUUUAGGAUCCGGAGGAAAGGAGCCCGAAUCAAUGCUAAAUUCAGUCAAAGCUUUCUUCUAGCAAUCUCUAAAAGAGGAGCAGAAGGCGUGCACCAGUAGAACAAAGUAAAUGCUGAGUAAAGCCCCUUGAAGGCCAUGGUACUGUGUAAAUCAAUAGGCAUUCCAAGGCAAAAUUAGGCCAUGGCAGUAGCUUGAGUACAGUUUUAGUCUCUGAUUUCUCCACAGAUGAUCAGCAAGUUUCGGAAUUUUUAAUAUUCUCUAAGCCAGAACAGAUACAUAAAAGAUGAAGGUUGGACGAACUACUCAUUACUGAUAUCAACUGCACCUGAAUUUAUUGAUGGCCAUCAUUUUUUUGUCUUCAGAAUCCAUUUUCAUUGCAGCAGUCCCAUUAAAUUUUUCUGAUGACUCCCACAUUGUCAUCCCCUAUUGAAGCAAUUCUAUCAACAAUUUCAGUAAUUAUGUCAACACCAGUAUUCCUUAAUGAAAAUACAACAAAAACUUUUCCACAACAUUGGCCAAGGGAGCAAAAGUCUCAUUCAUUAUUCAUAAGGAAUGUCAUGCUGAAGCUUCUUCCACUUCCUUAAGCUUUUGAAGCAAAUGGCACUGAGACCAUUGGGAACAUAUGCGAGGGCCUUUGAAGAAGGAAGUAUUCCAGCCACUACUGAAGAUAGAAGGCAUCAGGAAGGCCCCAAUUCAUGCAAAGCAGAAAAACAAGAAAGGCCAUUAAGGCCAAUUUUGGUCAUGACAAUCAUAGCAUGAGAGUUUUAGGAUCCCGUAGAGUCUGCAGAAAUGUAAGUAGUAGACCCAAGCGCCUUUAACAAAACCCACAAUCCUGUACUCUUCUGUAUGCAGUCUCUUUGCCAAAAGCUCUGCACCUCCCAGAUUCUUUAAACAGGAAAACUGCUGCACUGCUGUUGUCCAUGAGCUGCUCAUCAUGGGCACCAUUAGAUUGAACAAUGAAUGCGAAAGCAAGAAGGCGAAUCUUGUUGCACAAUCUGUAAGUUCUGAGAGGAAGGCACGAGCAUAUCUGAUUCUGGUCAGGCGCAAGUUUGUGCUCUUCGCAGUCCUCUUGGGCAUUAAACCAUGUCUUGACCACUGCCUAGCAUGUAGGUUCCCAGUUUACUGUUGCCUUUAGGGAUCACAAGGUCCAUAUUUAUCUCAAGUCUUGGCAAAUCAGUUCUCUUUCUCGUCAACCUACUGGAAUAUCUCAGAGCCAAUCAUCCAGUAACCGAGCUUUAGCCCAUUAACACUCAACCUUACAAAACUAGACAAGCUGCGAUGGGAUUCAUGGAGAUAAGGAAAUAGAACCGCCGGAAGUACACUGAACAUGCUGCGGCUUGCUGCAACGUUACCCCUCAUAUCAAACACCUCUGUCAUCCCCUCAAAACGUGCCCAAAUAUACUAAGACUCGAACAUCGUACAAGAAAGGAAACAUGGAACAUAGGCAGAAAAUAUCAAUCAACAUAGACAGCCCCGUUUUACGUGUCAAUAAUCUAGGGCUGGACAGGGGGACAAUACAGAAUAGGAUUUAAACAUAAACAGAGUAUGAUCAAAUUCAAGUAUGGGGUCACAUAUUUUAGAAGACACCAACGACAUAUAAAAGAAUCAGAAUAAAAAAAGGGCAAACAAGAACACAGAGAGUAACAAGAAGCAUACCUGGACAGUCUUGACUGCAAUCACUCCUUCCCCGCUAUCGUCCACCUCCAAAAUCCGUGAAAACCUUUGUUCCUCUUUCUUCAUUCGAAAACAAUCCCCUUAAAAAAAAAUCCCCUCUGCUCUCCUCUGUUGUUGCUUUAAAAGCCUCUCAUCUUGAAUCUGAAAUUCCCCCCCGGUAGCAAGACAAAAUCUCAACUCUUUCCUUUUUCCAUUGCCUUUGUUCAGAUCUUCCUUUUCAAAACAUGGACUGAAUCUUCAGUUUUUCCAAAACCCACCAAAAUAAUAAUAAUAAUAAUAAAAAACUAGAAAAAAAAAUAUAAAGUAUUAAGUCAAAAUCAAAAUAAAGAUAAAUAAAUAAAUUAAAAAAAAUCAGGAAUCAUAUAAGAAAAGGAAAAGAGAAGAUCAAUCACAUGUAAGUCAUAUAAGUCAUGCAUGCUAUGCAAUAAGGUUAUCUAGGCAAACUAUGCAACCAUGAAGGAAAGUGAGUCAAUGCAUGAACUAAUGGGUCGGGCCUUGUGGUGCCUAAAGUGGGCCUAGGUGGGCCAAAGUAAACCUGAGUGAGCUUAGAAAAGUGCUAUAGUGACCUAGGGUGAACUAAGUGAAAUCUAACUUAAAGUGCACCCAAAGUAAAGUCUAACCUAAACUCGAAGGGUGACUAAGGUCACAAUGAGGAGCCAGAUAAACCCUCAACCAAAGUCUCCAAAGUGGCUUAGAGAAGACAAAUUGCAUAGUAGUAAUUAGUUACAAAUGAACCAUUGUAAAAUACUAAAUGAGCCCUCAAUAGAACAUGUGCUAAGGGGACAAAAUGAAGGAUCUAUACUAAUAGAACAAAAAUUCUAAAAUCUUCAAAUCUCAACUUUUAAACCAACAUAUCAACCAUAGUAUUUUUGUCCAAGCAAUUUCAAACUAAAACAAUAGCUAACAAUAAUUAAAUUCUAAUGUUUAACAAAGUCCCCAAAAAAGAGUUUAAACAAAUAUCCUAAUAAAGCCAAAAUUUUCAUUCUAACCAUCACUUCUCACCCGAACUUAGGGUACCUGAAAAAUUAAUGAGCUCAAAACUCAAUAAGAAACAUUAAUAUAGUUUCAUGGAUCAAAUAUUUUCAUUCAUGCUUCCAAAUAGGAGAUAUAGGGUAUAAUCAUUUUCAUAAAACGUUUGAGUUCAAACAUGCUAAUACAUUUUAAACAGUUCAACCAAACAUUUUCAUAUAUAUCAAAACCAUUUCAUAUCAAAUCCAAAUCAAAUACAUUUCAAUUAUUUUUAUUUUGGUUACCAAAUAAUAAAUGACGCUUAGUUAAGUGAAACUUUACAAAUGGGUGGUUAGCUUCAAAUUUGUUCCUUUUAAGGUGGACAUAAUCAAAAGUAACCUCUAAUCAAAGCCCUCAAGGCUGGGGUUUAAAUCAAUUACAUUUUUUAUCAGGAAAAUGUAAAGGUCAAUUAUUAUAUCCUGUUGACAAGGGCCGAAAAGUCAACUAUUAUACCCCAUUGAUAAGGACCAAACAAAUUAAAGUCAAAUUCUUUGUUUUAUUUAUUCAAACUUACGGAAAACAUAAUACCUCCAUAUAUUCUAUUAUAAACAAAAGAAAUGUUAUAAUAUAUUUUUUAUGCAAAAAUAUAUUUGAUCCAUACAUAAAAGCAAAAAUAACACACACACACACACACACACACACACACACACACACACACACAUAUAUAUAUAUAAUUAUCUCUUCAAAUUGAUAAAUGGUAGUUUUUUUAUUCAUACUUUCAUUCGUUCAUGUACAGAGUAUAUAUAGAGGGUAAUCACCAUUCUAAGAAUGGGAAAGAAUGAUACAAGGAAAUAAUGAUAUAAGGAAAUAACAACUAAUAUCCUAAUAUCUCAACUUUCCUAAUAUCUCAAUAUUCCUAAUAUCUCAACACUAAAUGAUAUAAGGAAAGAAUGAUAUAAGGAAAGCAUUCCUAAUAUCUCAACACUCCCCCUCAAGUUGGUGCAUAGAUGUCACACAUGCCCAACUUGUCUAAAAAUUUUGAGAACACUUGACUUGAGACAACUUUGGUAAGGAUAUCGGCCAAUUGAUCUUCUGAUCGAAUCUUAGGCAAUUCCACAAUCUUAUCAUCCAAAUUUUCCUUAAUGAAAAAUCUAUCCACCUCGACAUGCUUUGUACGAUCAUGUUGUACUGGAUUAUGAGCAAUGUCACAUGCGGCUUUAUUGUCACAAAACAAUUGGAUUGGUUGCCUAGAUAGGUAACCUAAAUCCUGUAAGAGAAGUCUUAACCAUAAUGCCUCACAAAGUUCUAGAGCCAUACCUCUAAAUUUCGCUUCUACACUUGAACGAGCAACGACAUUCUGCUUCUUACUUUUCCAUGUCACAAGAUUACCACCUACAAAGGUAAAGUAACCAGAUGUAGAUCGCCUAUCAUCCACUGCACCGACCCAAUCAGCAUCAGUAUAUACUUCUAUACUCUGAUGAUUAACAUUUUUAGUGAACAAAAUUCCCUUCCCAGGAGCAUUCUUCAAAUACCUCAAAAUACGCAUGACUGCAUUCAUAUGUUGCUCUCCAAGAUUAUGCAUGUAUUGACUCACUACACUCAAUGCAUAAGCAAGAUCUGGUCUUGUAUGAGCUAAGUACAUUAAUCUCCCCACAAGUCUCUUGUAUCUUCCCUUAUCGGUUGAUACUUGAUUAGACUCAACACACAAUUUCAGACCUUCUUCUAUUGGUGUAUUAACAGGUUGACAUCCCGACAUUCCAGUCUCCUGUAAAAGAUCUAAGGCAUACUUUCUUUGAGAUAGAAAAAUUCUUUCACUUGAUCGAGAAACUUUAAUCCCAAGAAAGUAUUUCAGAGGACCUAGAUCUUUCAUUUCGAAUUCUCUAGAUAGAUAAUUUUGUAGAGCUUUUCUUUCUUCAGGAUCAUUUCCUGUAACUACCAUGUCAUCCACAUAUACGAUGAGUGUCGUAAUCUUACCAUGUUGCUUUUUCAGGAACAAAGUGUGAUCUGAAUUACUUUGACGAUAGCCAAAAGCUCUCAUUGACUUUGUGAACCUUCCAAACCAUGCUCUCGGGGAUUGCUUCAACCCAUACAAUGACUUUUUCAAUUUGCACACCUUCUGACAUUGCUUUUCUGGCAUCAUGCAUCCUGGUGGAAGAUCCAUGUAUACUUCUUCAGAUAACUCGUCAUGCAGAAAGACAUUUUUCACAUCGAAUUGUUGUAAUGACCAAUCUAGGUUUGCAGCUAAAGACAGUAAUACUCGAACUGUGUUGAUCUUAGCUACGGUGCAAAUGUCUCUGUGUAGUCAAUUCCAUAAGUUUGAGUGUACCCUUUUGCUACCAGUCUUGCUUUAAAUCGUUCAAUACUACCAUCUGCCUUGUACUUCACAGUAUAGAUCCAACGACACCCAACUGGCUUCUUUCCUGGUGGACAUUCUACGAGUUCCCAUGUUUCAUUCUUCUCCAAUGAUUUCAUCUCUUCAUUCAUGGUUGCUUUCCACCUUGGAUCAACUAAGGCUUCCUGCACACUGUUAGGAAUAACUGCAGUAGAUCAUUGAUUUACAAAUGACUUAUUUGAUUUAAACAAACGAUGGUUAGACACAUAGUUGCUCAUGGGAUAUUUGACUUUGGUAGACAAUUCAGGUUCAUAUGUGGGUUUAGGAAUACCUCUAUUAUGACGAUGUGGUAACCGUUUCAUGAAUGGAUCAGGUUCCAAAUUAAGAACACCCUCAACAGACGACGAUUGGUUUGGUAUUUCAAUGAAGACAUCUUCGGACCCAAAUUGUUGACCACUCAUAUCCAACUCACCCGCUUCCUGAUUCACUAGUUCAAAUUGUCCAGAUUCAUCUUCCUCAGAGAUAUGAUAAUCAUAAUCGAGAGUCUGAAUUUCCUUAUGGUACUCCUCCUGAAGUUCAGACUCAGAUGAAAAAUACAUCGAAUCUUCAUGAAACACCACAUCCAUUGUAAUAUACAUUUGUCAAGUUGGAGGAUGGUAACAUUGAUAUCCAUUUUUGUGCAAUGCAUAUCCAACAAACACACAUUGCAAUGCAUGAGAAGUUAACUUGGUGCGUUGGUGCUUGUGUAGAUGCACAAAUGCCACGCAACCAAAAACACGAGGAGGUAGAUUUGGGACGAUUGGGGCAACUACGGCAUUAGUAAGAGCUUGGAGAGGUGUUUGAAAGUUAAUUGAGCUAGAAGGUACCCGAUUGAUCAAGUAUGCGGCAGAUGUGAUUGCUUCUUCCCAAUAAGAUAUCGGUGUUUUUGCUGCUAUCAAGGAAGCACGAACAACCUCUAACAAGUGCCGAUUUUUUCGUUCAACGACUCCAUUUUGCUGGGGUGUAUUGGAACAAGUAAUCUGAUGAAUGAUGCCAUGUCCUUCCAAAUACUUUUGAAGAUCAGAACUUUGAUAUUCUCCACCAUUAUCACUAUGCAGAACUCGAACCUUUGCAUUGUACUGAGUUUCAAUCAUUUUAUGAAAUUUUUGAAACAACAAGUUCACUUCAUCUUUGGUCUUCAUCAAGCAUAACCAUGUCAUUCUGGUACAAGCAUCAAUAAAAGUAACAAACCAACGUGAGCCACUCAAAGUUGGGACUUUGGAUGGGCCCCAAACAUCAGAAUGUAUAACCAUAAAAGGAAACGAACUUUUAUUCAAAAUUAAUGGAAACGAAGCACGAUGGCUUUUAGCCAAUUCACAAAUAUCACAACGGAAACCAGAAAUAUCACUCUUUGCAAACAAACUAGGAAACCAUUUUUUUAAAUAACCAAAGGAAGCAUAUCCCAGACGUCGAUGCCACAACCAAAUUUCAUACUUUUUCUUCUCCCCCUCAGAUCCAUCUGCCAUCAAGACUUGUUGCAACUUAUUUGAAUCCUUUGACUGCAAGUCCAAGUAAUAGAGUUUUCCCCGCUUAAUACCACAACCAAUCGUUUGUCUUGUUUGGAUGUCUUUAAUCACACAAAAUUCAGGCAAAAAAAUGACAAUACAUGAUAAGGUUGCAGUGAUUUGAGAAACUGACAAAAGAUUGUAAUCUAAAGAUGGAACAACUAAAAUAGAAUCCAAAUUCAAAGUACCAGUAAGAGUUAAGGAUCCUUCCCCAAUGACUGGGGUUGUGUUACUAUUGGCUGUGGAAACAAUUUUUUGUGAGGAAGGUCUAAGGGGUGAAACCUGUCUAGAAUCAAAAGUCAUAUGAUCUGUAGCACCAGAAUCAAUUAUCCAUGCACUAUUAAUAACAGGUGUAAAAGUAUUUAAAAACUUACCACCAUGAUCAAUAGCGACUACCAAUGCAGAGGCUUUCUCAGUAACAUUAGCCUCUGUUUUUAUUUCGGCAACAGUUGCAGUCGAAGUUUUCUUGGAAUCCUUUUUCCGUUGAUCACAAUUAUUAUCAUUAAUAACAAAGUGUUGAUAGCCUAAACAUGAUCUAAAUGUCCAUGGUUCAAACCCUCGGUUCCUCAUUGUUUUCCUGGUCAUACCAAGAGUCGUUACUUUGAAAUUGUGGGAUAUCCAGACUGGUGGGACCAGUCUUAUUGCAGUGAGUGCAUUUGAAGGUUGACUUAUCAAUAUUAGGGCUUGUCUUAGGAUGGUUGAUCGCUGUCGGACUACCAUGGUGACAAAAUAUCCAGGAUUUCAGUUCAAUGGCUCUGAUACCAUCUUCAAAUUGAUAAAUGAUAGUUUUUUCAUUCAUACUUUCAUUCGUUCAUGUACAGAGUAUAUAUAGAGGGUAAUCACCAUUCUAAGAAUGAGAAAUAAUGAUACAAGGAAAUAACAACUAAUAUCCUAAUAUCUCAACUUUCCUAAUAUCUCAAUAUUCCUAAUAUCUCAACACUAAAUGAUAUAAGGAAAUAAUAAUAUAAGGAAAGCAUUCCUAAUAUCUCAACAUUAUCUUCUUUUGCAAAGUUUGUGUUAAUUUCUCUUAGCUCAAAAGAGUCCUCAAAAACCUUGGAGAGAAAUAAUUGUGGAAAAUCUAUUCUUCACUUAACAUAACAUAAUAGAAAUAAAUAUUAUUAUUUAUGUACAAUUUAAUUAAUCUAUUCCGUAUUUAAAUAAAAUUAAUAAAUUCCUAAUUUGAUUCUAAUAACACAUUACUAAUUUAAUUAAAUUGCAAUUUUAUUUCAUUAUAAUUUUUUUUUUACUAAAUCUCUUAUUCUAUUUAUUACUUUAAACCAUUAUUACUAUUAUCUUAUUUAUUAACCUAGACCUAAAUAUUAUUAUUUUAUUAAUUAUCAAAUUCAAUAGCCACCCAAACCAUUACCCACUUGUCUCUGGCACACACAAAACAAAUAAAACAAGGCAAGUUCUUCCGAUUGUCAUCAUCAUCACUAUGAUGAUUCAUUAUUUAUUUAUUUAUUCUUGGUUUUCCAAGGUCAUCCUUCCAUCAAAUGCACACGCCUCUUUUUUAUUCUUUCUUUCUUUCUUAACCCUAACAUGUCUUUUUUUUUUUUUUUACUUCUAGCAAUGUGCACACAAAUACAAUGCCUCAAAACCAUAAAUACAAGUAUCUAUAUAUGACCCCUCCAAAAUCCAGAAAUCAUGUAAUUCUUCUUAUUAUUUAUUUAUUUAUUUUAUUUUCAAUCUAAAGCCUCCACUAAUGACUUAUUUAUUUAUUAUCUAAAUCUAAAAUUUCUUUUCUUCCUCUGGUUUUUUUUUUUCAUUUUAAAUUUAUUUAUUUAUUUUUCUAUUCCAUUGAAAAUUUUGAAAUUUUCCUAUCUUCAUCGAUAAAUCAACCUAUAUUUGAAAAUUUUCAAACAUUUUGAUCUAAAAGUUUAAUAAACAAACCCUAAUUUUGAUUUAGAUUUAAAAAAAAAAUAUCUAAUAUGUUCGAAACUAACUAAUGAAUCUAAAAUAUUAAUCUAGGGGUUAGAAUUUUAUCGGAAAAGUAUGGACUUCAAACCCUAAACCUUCAAACCUUUACCCCUAUGUGCUCCAAUUCUCUGAUUUUGGUUAAUAAGGUUUUUUGAAUAGAGAAGACAAUAACAAAAAUAAAAAAAUCUAAUUCAUACCUAGGACUAUUAAUGGAAAAAAUGACAUUUUUCCCCUAAUGAAUUUAAUUAAUGUUUAAUUUACUAUUUUACCCCUAAAAUUAAUUUGGGGUGUUAUAGUAUCAAUGGAUGAAAAAAAAAAAUCAAAAGGCGUAGGUCAUAAAUUUUAUUUCAAAAUCAUUUAAGAAUUAAUUAAUUAAAACUCAAAUUUUAAGUUUUUUAAUUUUAAAUUCCUCCCUUAUUCAUUAUUGGAUUAAAUUCUUUUAACUAUUUUUCCCUCUUUUAACUUUAUUAUUUUUUUCAUAAUUUUUAUCAUUAGAACAUAAGCUUUCUUGUUUCUCUUAAGAUUUUGUAAAUCAUUUAUGUGAAAUUUUAAAACCAAAUUAGCUAUCAAUAUUUCUUCUACCUUUUUCUCAAUCAAAUGCAUGAUUUAUUGUUGAUACUUAUCUUGGUUCAUCUAUAAGUGAGACCAUAACAAAAUAGACAUGCUUUUUUUUUCCAUUUGGAAGUCCUAAGGAAUCGACAUGUAGCCCAUAACAAGGACUAUCAAAUUAAUCAUUUAUAGUUUACAAUAAAAUAGAAUGCAUAUUAAAGGGGCUCUAGACUCGCAACUGUGAAUAUAUUGUUUGUUCUAGGUCCAACAGGUCCUCAAAAUUUCAAAAUAUGUUUACAAGGUUAAGAGGAGUCCAUACACAUAUAAUAUAUAUGUAAAAUUGCAAGGUUAAACGUUUUUAAAGAAACACUUCAAUUAAAAGCAUUUCCUAUAAAAACACUUUCAAUCGGACAUUAAUUAUCUUUAGUUAAUUAUCAUCAAUUCCUAAAUAUAAAUUUAUUCUCCUUAUCGGGAAUUUAACUAAAAUGCUUUUUUUUAUUAUCAAAUUAAACUAUGCAAGUGUAGGAAGUAGUUUUGUUCAAUAUGCUCAUAUGCUCUUUAGAUCAUGUUCUCCUUGAGUUGCUUGUUUUUUCUUAACAAAAAAAAUACAGUUUGUCACCCAUUUUGAAGGGAGAUAAUAACGAAAAACUCAUAGUUAAAAAAAAAAAAAUGUGAUUUCAACAGUUUUGGGAAUUAUCACUCUCAACAAUCUAUUAAAAAAUUGUAAAGAUUACAUGUUGGAUCUCCCCAGCCCCAAGGACACUUACUGUCACAAGAAUAAAGGUCACAAGAAACCCAUAUCCUAUCUUCCACCCCAAGCCUGCUUCUGCCAGUCAAAGUCCAAUCACAAUAUUCAGAGCUCCCAAGAUGAGAGCAAGUCUCCCUACCAAGUGAUGUUACUAGUUCCAGUACUUGCGCUGUUUGGAUGUCUUGUCCGGCCUUAGAAUCAAUGCCAUUACCUGAGAAGAAGAAAACUUAGUUUCCAGCAUGCUUGAAGAAAUAUAUUUUGUUACUGUCGAGUGAAGGCCCAGGCAGAGUGAAAACAAACCUGAAGAAUGCCAAGGAAAAACACCAAGGAUCCGAGGGGUCUGUGAAUCUUGAAUUUGGGAAUGCGAUAAAACUCCAGUCCAUUGUAGAGUGUCCUUCCUGCGACGACAGUAGCAAGACCCGGAAGAAAACCCACAAUCUGGAUCGAGAUAUGAAGAUAAAACCAUUGAGGAUCAUGAUGCUUGAAGUAUCUAGGGAUGAUUGCCCCAGAUGGAAGGAGCACGUCCCAUGCAAUUAGGCCCAUGUCUCCAUGACGCGUCUCCAAAUCUCCAGAGUUAUUGACACCAGAGUUAUAUCCUGUGAGACACACAACAGAAAUUUUCCAUAUCAGACUUCAAAGAGUUUUAUCUGAAGCUCCCACUUUAUUUCCUAGAUAUAAGCCCCUCGUCUAGAAUGUAAAAUCCUCUGUUCUCUGUUCAAAUUUCAGCUUUGCAAUUGGAGUCAAUACAUCUCGUAUUCAAUUCAAUCCUCAUCUUUUUAUGGCCUCCUAAAUUCUAAGACCUGUCUGGGUUGUCCAGUUUUGUGAAAAAUUACAUCAUGGGAUUUGAUUCAAUGUUAGGUACAAAAUUUUGGAAAAAUCUGCAAAACCCUCAACAGUUGUGACCACAGCUCAAGACCAAGGUGGGAAUUUACAAUCUAAUAAUGCUGAUGAAUGCUUCAUAGACUGCUCUACGAAACUAGCGUUUGUCAGAAUGCCUGUCCUUUGUUGAAAGACAUGAAGAUCCUCACAUUCUCGAGCAGGAAGAACCUUGGCCGAAAGUAGUUGAUUACUACUCAAAAAGUGCUAUUUGAUAGCCUAUAAUUAAUCAUUUUAAACACUUUUGAGUAGUAGUUUAGGCCUUUUAACUCAAUUGGCAUGUUAAGGAUCCUUUAAAGCAAUUUUAAUCACUUUGUGCAAGUUUUGGUGUUUUUGUUAGUAUUUUGAUCACCAAAGCAAGUCAAGACUGAGGAGAGCUAUGAGGAAUCUUGGGCAAAGCUUAGAAGUCAUUUGCCAAGAGUGAAUCCGGAUUGCAAGGAGUAAAAGCAAAGAGAAUCUGCCAUAAAACAUAUUCUUGAUGACAGUCGUAGCAGCCACUUUUGGAGCACUUUAUUAAGUCCAAAUUAUGCAUGCUAUAUACCAUUUCAAAGCUCAGGAAGUCAACAAUCCAAUGCUUUAAACGGUGUGCAAUUCGGAGUUGAAACGAAGAAGUUGCAGCCAUUGCAAGCCAAUCACUCCGAGCUGAAGGAAGCAUUUUGCAAAGUGUUGCGAAAUCACCCUUUUGUUGCGAAGUGAUUUCGCAGCAUUUUUGUACAGUAAGGUGUAUCUCCUUCUGACGAUGCACGAUUUAUGCCGCGAGAAGGAAGCUAGGAACCUCAAGGUGGAAGCCAACUUUGCAGCCUGGUGAAGAUAGCUUGGUGUUGCGAAAUUAUUUCGCAGUCCUCUUGAGUGUCUGCGAAAUCUCGCAGACACCAUUUUACUCCUGCGAAAUGGUUCCUGAAGCCUCCCGAUAUUUGCUACCGACAUUGGGAGAUAUUUUCCAUUAGAUUUUUGUUGUCUAAAUCCCAAAAUACUCCUUGUAAACCACCAAUUACAAGAUUCCUUAGCUUUUAAGUUAGUAAAAAGACUAAAUAUUUUUGUAACAAUUAGUUUUAUAUUAUGUUGAUAUAUAUACCUCUCGGGAGCCUGUUCUCGGGGAGGAGAUUCUUCUGUAAAAGUUUGGGUAAGCAAGUAAAGUCUAUUUUCUUUCUACUGCCUUACCUUCUCACUUUGUAUUUUCAUUUUAUUUCUAAGUUAUGAAUUCUCUGAGGAGUUUUCCCCAGAGAAUGAGUAACUAAACCUCUAAUUCCUUGGAGCUAAGGUUGCCGGGGAAGGUUCCAAGUGCAAGAAUGCAAAGCUUUGUGGUUUUAGAUUUUAAUGAAGAGGAAGUGAAAUCCUUUAGUGAUUUCUAUGUUUUUAGUUAACUUAAAACACCUUAGAGUCACCUGGGCCAACACUUGGUAAGGCAAGUGAUUUCCAACUAUGGAAAUGCACUAGUUUACCUCUUGCAAGCCUCUGGGAGGUGACUUCAAGGUAGGAUUUUCUGGAAUUACCAACACUUGGUAAGCUUUUGGACUCCUAGGAGACAUCCAUUAGUUAUCUCUUGCGAGUUUGUGAAGGGAAGUCCAAGGUUAAAGAUCAUCUUGAAUGGUAAGUGCUCGUGAGAGGCAUGAACCAUUGCAAGUUGCAUCAGUGAGAGAAUUAAAGUGAAAUCUAAUUGAAGGAAUCUCUGUACAACACCGGUUAGAGAAUUGACUAUAUGUUGAAUCUCUAACGCGAGGAAAUGAACCAUCUGACCAGGGCCGUGUCUUUUGCAUGAGGAACCACCCCAGUGAACCUAAAUCUCCAAGGAAUGCUUUUCUUCCUAAAUUAUUCCAAACUUCUGUUAUGUUAGUUAGUUUAAGUCUAAACCUUUACCAAUCAAAGUUUGUGUUUUACUUCUUAAGCUAACCGUGAAAUGAAACAAGACCAAUUCACUUGGAAUUGGUAUCAUUGAUUGCUUGUUAAUUAUUCCCAGUGAACGAUCCUAGAGCCACUAUACUAUAGUAGCUUUUUAUUUGCUACCCUAGUGUAUGGUGUUAUAGGUAUAAAUUUUGUUGAUCACUCCCUCAUCCAAGGAGCACCAGCUGGACAUGGAUCAGCUGAGACACCAAUUGGGCAUAAAUCAGUAGUCGGCAAAGGAUAAGAAGGCUGGGAUCAUUUCACACUGAACUUUACUCCAGCUACUUUGGUUAACCGGAUUCAUCCCAGAGAAACCCUGUGAAGAUCGCAGCCUUGUUUGAGCUCUUUGAAUAGAGUGAAAUAACAGAGCAGAAGCUGAUCAAACCUGGCAUGGAGGGCCCCCCAUUAAUAAAAUCAACUUCUCCAACCAUCCGGUGAUGCAGAUUGUUUGGCAGCCUCAGAAGCUGAGACACGGUCAUCGGCAUUCCCACACUACUCCACGACAGCCCUGCAUCACAACCAAUUUACGGGUCUAUUACAAAUGAGAGGGAGAAAAAGAGAUUUUCAUGUUAAUGAAAUCAUUCACCUUAGGAUCGAACUGAAACGAUAAACAUCAAUGAUUCCGGAUGAUUGAAUUUGAGUGCAUCCCCAGCAGGCUCUUCAUAUUCAGUAGCCUACUUGGUUACUGAUACACCUGCAAAGUUGAAAGCAACAGGAGGUAAAAUCAUCACAUUCUUUAAUAAAAAUGUCAUCACAUACGACUCUUUAGCUGAUAUAGAUACAAAUGAACUACCUGAUUGAGGGGCCCUUCAAAGGAAAAUAUGUUCCAAAGGUUGCAAGGACAUCACAUGGUGGCAGAUCAUGCUUCUGAAUAACCUGCACAUUCCACCCUUCAAAUAUAUUAGAAAAAUAAUAUAAUUGUAGUUUUAUAUUAUAAUAGAAGUUCAAAAAAAAAAAGAGAAAUUAUGCACGAUUGCUUGCACCCACCUCAUGGAUGUCAUAACAGUAUGCCUUCUUGCUUUUACAUUUUACAGUAAUAAUAGAUCGAUAACAAAUUUACAUGGAGAAGUGAGAACCCUCAGCUAGUUUCAUCCCCAUGACCAUGAUCCAGCAGCUCACCCAACGUAAUCACAGAAAACGGUUUUGACAAUAGUGGCCACUGUUUUGAGAGUGCUCGAGCAACUUGUUGCAUAGUUGGCCGAGAUUGGGGAUUAACACACAAACAUGCAAAUGCCAACUUCACUGCAACCACUACUUCCUCUGCCACUUGAUUCACAGGAGGUGAGGGGCGCUGGUCUAUCACAUCAUUCAGCAGGAAAUGGCCGACCGUUGAUGGUGAUGCAGAUGAGGAGGACGCUGAUGAUAACAGGGAUGAGAUAAGCUCUCCGGGAUGCCUUCCCAUAAUUACUUCUAAUGUCACAACACCGAAGCUAUAAACAUCGGUUUUAUUAUCCACCUUCAUUGUGUAAGCAAGUUCUGCAAAAGAAGAUUAGAUCAUGCUCUGCUCUGCUAAGCAAUUAGAAACGUUACAUAUGACGUAUAGAGGCCAUUUAGAGAUAAGCAAGGCACUAAGAAAAAUGUACCUGGAGCUGUAUAACCAAAAGUUCCUGCAAAUGAAGUCCAAUUAGAUGAGUCUGACUUUAAAAGCCUAGCCGUGCCGAAGUCAGAUACAUGAGCUUCAUAUUCUGAAUCUAACAAAACAUUGUUGCUCGAUAUGUCUUGAUGAAUUACAGGAGGUGAGCAAUCAUGGUGCAUAUAAGAUAAAGCUUUAGCCACGCCUUUAAUAACGUUUAGCCUCACAGUCCAAUCUAAUCUUUCUGCUUCUUCGUCGUUGCAUAGAAUGUUUUGCAAACUCCCCUUUUCCAUAAACUCAUAAACCAAAAAUGAGUUCUUUGCAAAUGAACUGAAGCCAUAAAGCUUGACGAUGUUGUGGUGCCUUAUCUGUGUUAAAGCAUAAAUCUCGCUUUUGAAAGCUUUCAAAUCAGCCAUAUCUCCAUCUUCUGAUGAGUGAAGCUUUUUCACAGCAACAACCCGACCUGUUGGCAACUCAGCCUUGUAAACAGUACCAUAUCCUCCAGUGCCAAUACACUGUUUCGAACUGAAAUUGUCGGUCCCCUGUAUGAUGUGCUCAUACAACAAUUCCCCAUCAUGGCCCCAUAUUGCAAAUAGAUCUUCAACAUCUGCUUCAGGAGACUUGGUUUUUCUCUUCCUCAAUUUUUGGAAAAGAAAAUAAAUGCCAGUAAUAAAAGCAAAUAAGAACAAUAGACUGCUCACAAUAAGGAGUAUUAUGAUCAAAAUAGAAAACUUGCUGGCCUUCUUUUGACUAGCACCGCAUGGCUUGAGAUGAGUGACAUUAUUACCACACAGACCUUUAUUAUUUUUGAAUGCCUCAAAUUGAGCAAAUGCUUUGAUGUUGGGGAGAGGACCUUCCAACUGAUUGUAGGAUAUAUCAGCAACUGUCAGGCUUAUCAAAUCAUAAAACGUGUGUGGGAUGGUGCCAGAGAGAUCGUUAUGGGAGAGAUUCAACGUUUCUAGGUUCUGUAAUUCUCCAAGGUGCGGUGGAACCUCUCCUGUCAACAUAUUUUGACUAAGAUCGAGACUUUCAAGAUGAUGCAUCUUUCCAAUUUCGUCAGGAAUGCUAUCCACAAAUCUAUUCUCGCUCAAGUUCAAGGACCAUAAUUUCCAGAAGUUUCCCAGUUGCUUGGGAACUGGACCGCUUAAGUUGUUUGAUGCCAAGUCAAGGAUUUCAAGAUUGGAUAAGUUUCCUAAUUCCAGAGGAAUACUUCCUGAAAGUUUGUUGUUGCCUAGCAACAAUUUGAACAAUAAGGGAAACAUACCCAAUUCUUUUGGGAUCUUCCCAAUUAGAUGAUUUGAGGAGAGAUCAAGUUGUUGCAGUUGAAUUGCUUUCCCAAGUUGAGGUGGUAUAGCACCAGAAAUUUUAUUGUUGGAGAUGUUCAGGUUUGUGAGCAUGUGGCACUCCCCCCAUUUCUCAGAAAGCUCACCAUAAAAAUUGUUAUUGCUCAGAUCAAUAUAAUUUAGAUUAGGGUAUACACCAAAACUUUCGGCUAUGUCUCCAGUAAGUUGGUUUUUUUCAAGCCUAACUCUGAAUAAGCUAGUGCAAUUUUUCAAGCUCUUUGGAAUAGGACCAGUGAAAUGGUUCAUUUGGGCUGAAACUUUUUCAAGAGCAUUACCAAGGCAUAUCUCUUGUGGUAGGUGGCCAAUGAAGUUAUUCUCAGCAAUUUGCAAAGAUUUCAAAUGAGUGAUAUUAUUCAUUUCUAGAGGAAUGGCACCACUGAGUCUGUUGUAAUGAAGGGCCAAAAAGUUUAAGCCGGACAAGUUUCCAAAGGAUGGAGGGAUCAGACCAGUGAGACUAUUAUUUGCCAACUCAAGAUCAUUAAGUGAUGUCAACAAUCCAAUCUCUUGAGGAAUAGAACCGGAUAGUUUGUUUGUAUGAAGGUACAAAGUGGUUAAGUUCCUCAAGUUACCUAUGGAAUGAGGGAUUGGACCGGUGAGAUUGUUAAUUGACAACGCAAGAUCAUUAAGUGAUGUCAACAAUCCAAUUUCUUGAGGGAUGGAACCAGAAAGCUUGUUCUCAGAAAGAUCUAAAGUGGUUAAAUUUCUCAAGUUUCCAAAGGAUGGAGGGAUCGGACCAGUGAGACUAUUAUUUGCCAACUUAAGAUCAUUAAGUGAUGUCAACAAUCCAAUCUCUUGAGGAAUAGAACCGGAUAGUUUGUUUGUAUGAAGGUACAAAGUGGUUAAGUUCCUUAAGUUACCUAUGGAAGGAGGGAUUGGACCGGUGAGAUUGUUAAUUGACAACGCAAGAUCAUUAAGUGAUGUCAACAAUCCAAUUUCUUGAGGGAUGGAACCAGAAAGCUUGUUCUCAGAAAGAUAUCAAGUGGUUAAAUUUCUCAAGUUUCCAAAGGAUGGAGGGAUCGGACCAGUGAGACUAUUAUUUGCCAACUCAAGAUCAUUAAGUGAUGUCAACAAUCCAAUCUCUUGAGGAAUAGAACCGAAUAGUUUGUUUGUAUGAAGGUACAAAGUGGUUAAGUUCCUCAAGUUACCUAUGGAAUGAGGGAUUGGACCGGUGAGAUUGUUAAUUGACAACACAAGAUCAUUAAGUGAUGUCAACAAUCCAAUUUCUUGAGGGAUGGAACCAGAAAGCUUGUUCUCAGAAAGAUCUAAAGUGGUUAAAUUUCUCAAGUUUCCAAUGGAUGAAGGGAUCGGACCAGUAAGACUAUUAGUUGCCAACUCAAGAUCAUUAAGUGAUGUCAACAAUCCAAUCUCUUGAGGGAUAGAACCAGAAAGCUCAUUCUCAAAAAGAUGUAGAGUGGUUAAGUUUCUCAAGUUUCCUAUGGAUGGAGGGAUUGGACCAGUGAGACUAUUAAUUGCCAAUUGAAGAUCAUUAAGCGAUGUCAACAAUCCAAUUUCUUGAGGAAUAUAACCAGAUAGUUUGUUUUUAUGAAGGUACAAAGUGGUUAAGUUCCUCGAGUUACCUAUGGAAGGAGGAAUUGGGCCUCUGAAAUUAUUAAAACACAAUGCUAGAACACUAAGAGAUGUUAGAAAUCCAAGUUGGGGAGAUAUUACACCAGUAAAACGAUUGAAAGUAAAGUUAAGAUUUGUGAUUAGUUUAGAAAGAUUACCAAUGUUGAUUGGAAUGGUUCCAUAAAGGGAGUUGUUAUAAAGAUUAAGAGUGAGAAGGUUAGGGAGUGAUGAGAAAUUGAGAUUGUGGAGUGUACCUCUCAAACCGCAAUUGUCAAGGUCUAAAUUGGAGACACUUCCUGACCUGUGACAAGUCACUCCAAACCAAUGAUGGCAAGAAUUGCGUCCAGACCAAGAAGAAAGGAAAGAUUGGGUUUGAUUAUCAAGACUGGUCUUCCAUGUUAGAAGAGCAACUGCCUCUUGAUCUUGUUCAACUUUCAAAAGAGAAGUGGUAGGUGUAGAGGCAGAUGUAAAAGUGACAUGGAAUAAUGAUAUCGAGUACAGAAGGAAAAGGAGAAAUAUGAAUAAGCAAGGAGUGAUGAUGAGUCGGGGGAGUAAGGAGUAGGAUGAAAAAUAUUCAAGCACCAUUGUUGAAUUGGUAGAAAUGAAGUUAUUAAGAGGUUUACCUGGAGGGAAGGAUGAAGACGAAACACUUAUUUAUAGACUUAAAUGUGAUACAUCCAAGAUUUCCAUUAGUUGGUGUUGACAUCUAACCAUUUGCUUUGUCUACGAUUAAUGGAAUUGAAAAGUAUUAUAUACAUGCAUGAGCUCAAUUCCACACUUAUUUUAUUUUAUCAAAAUGCUCUUAAUUUUUUUAUUAAAAUUUACACCUGUAAUUACAUAUGAAAUAAUUAAAAAUAUUCCUUUUUCACUCUAUGCACUUUUAAAUAUAACUUGUUUAAAAUUAAUCAUUACAAUUCAUUUUAAGAAGUAAGGACCAAAUAUACCCACGUCAACAACCUAGUUGAUAUAGGAAGUCCACUUUAACCAACAUUACUCAUUGUUUAGAUUGAAUUCUUUUAACUAUUUUGCCCUGUGAGAAAUAAACUCUUUUAACUUUAUUAGUUCUUUCAUAAUUUUUAUCCUUACAAUAUGAACUAUCUGAUUUCUCUUAAUAUUUUAUAAAUCAUUUAUGUUAUAUUUCAAAACAAAAUUAGUUGUCAUUUCUUCUACUUCUUUCCCAGACAAAUGCAUAAUUUGUGGUUGAUGUUUAUUAGUUUUAUUAAAGGUGUUUACAAUUUGUAAGUGAGACCCAUCAUCUAUGAAAAAUAUAGACAUGCUUUUUUUCAGUUGAAAGUCUUAAGGAACUAGUAUUUGGACCACAACAAGAACUAAGGGCUACCAAAUUUUCACUUUGUUUUACAUCCAAAUAAAACACACAAUCCUUUAUGUAUUGUCUAUUCUAAGCCAAGGGGCUCUCAAGGCUUUAAAAUGCAUCUCUAAGAUUAAGAGGAGCCUAACAUAUAUAUCAUCAUGAGCUUUUUUUCUCUAUCCGACGUGAGAUGUCAUAAAAAUUGUUCAACAAGACUAAUGCAUUUGUGAAGCUCAAAAGAAUCACAAAAAUCAAAGGAAGAUUUUUUGGGCAUUACAACAUAAAAGAUGCAGGACCCUUGUACACAUGCAUUUUCCUUAUCAAACAAUUGUCUUGACAAGCCAUUCUAAAGCCCACUUGGCUUGCCAUCACUAGUGAUGGACCUACAUCAUUCAAAUUCUCGAUGCUCUUGAAAAGGCCAUAUGCACUUGAAGUAAAAAGAGCUUUGAAUUUUUGUUAGAUACUUCGUUUUUUCUAUUUGGAAACAUAUUUUUCUUUUCUUUUUUUGUUCUUUUUUUUUAAUAGAACGUUUACCCUCCUAGAGUGUAAAAUCCUCUAUUUUCUGUUCAAAUUUCAGCUUUGCAAUUAGAGUCCUAAAUUCUAAACCUUGUCUGGGUUUUCCAGUUUUGUGAAAAAUCACAUCAUAGGGACCCAACAAGAUGGGAUUUGAUUCAAUGUUAGAGACAAAUUUUGGAAAAAUCUACAAAACCCUCAACAGUUGUGGCCAUACCAUAGCUCAAGACCAAGAUGGGAAUUUACAAUCUAAUAAAGCUGAUGAAUGCUUCAUAGACGUGAAGGUCCUCACAUUCUUGAUCGGGAAGAACCUAGGCCGAAAGUAAUCAGCAAAGGAUAAGAACGCCAGGAUCAUUUCACACUGAAACACUUUACUCCAACUACUCUGGUUAAACGGAUUCAUCCUAGAGAAAACUAUGAAGAUAGCAGCCUUGUUAUAGACUUAAAUGUGAUACAUCCAACAUUCCCAUUAGUUGGUGUUGACAUCCAACUACCUCCUUGUCUACAACUAAUGGAAUUGAAAAGGAUUAUAUGGCUCAAUCCCAUGCUUAUUUUAUUUUAUUUUAUCAAAGUGCUCUUAAUUUUUAUUAAAAACACUUGGAGUGCUUCUUCUUGGAUAAACACUUGAUGAGUAUUUCUUUUAAAGGAUAAGAGAAAUAUGAAAAAUACUAAUAUUUCAUAAAAAUAUUCAUUUUACAAAAAUACAUUCUUCUAGUAUUUUUAUUAAAAAUAAUUUUAGAAAUACUCUUACCAAAUGGUGGAAAAUUCUUAACAUGAGUGCAAAUUAAUUUUUAUUUUGAAAAAGUUUUACUAAAUGGAAAAAAAUUCUUCCUCGAAUUUUAUGUGGAUAUGAAUUACUUGGAUAAAAUUGGAGCUUUGUCCAUAUCAUGUUAGUGACUUAUUUUGUUGAGAUAUAUAGUUAUAAGACAAAUCUCACCCAAAUAUCUUUUUUUCGUAGAAGACAAAGCUCAUUGCCUUGAAUGAUAGGAUCUAGAGAUGCACAAAAGUGUGCUUUUUUAUUUAAAAAAAUGUGUUCUAUGACUAGCAUGUAUUUCAAAUUUAAGUUCAACCAAAAAGACCGCUCAAUCUCCUAAGAGCUCUUUAGAGAUGAAAACCAAUUUUAAUUAUAUCAAAUAAAAAUAUAUAAUUAUUAUUUCUUAAGAUGGUAUUGUUAAAUUGCCAAUUUUUAAAAAUUUUAUUAUGGUAAAAAAUGUUAACAUUUUGGGAAAAAAAUUAUUACUAUUUUUUUUUCAAACUAGCAGUCUUGAAAUAUUUUGUCUUAAUUAUAUAAAAAAUGAUAAUUAUUUUUGUAUAGACAAUGAUAUUUAAUUAGUAAUUUUUAGAUAUUCUUAGCAUGUAAAAAGAAGUAGACUUGACAUUUAAUAAUAUUUUGAUACCACUUUAAUCAAAUAUAUUAUUCAAAGUUAUACAUCUAGCUCUAUUAAAUUUAAGUUAAAUGAAGGUAUAGUCGAAAUUCAUAUUGACAAACAAAUGUUACCUAAGUGUAAUUCCUAUGACAUUGUAGUGAAGCAUAAUUUUUUUUUUCUUUUUAAGUAGAAUUAUAUGAAAACUUAAUUUAUUUUAAGCAUGCAUUAAAAUAAUGAUUUGUCUUUUAUUAAUUAAAAAACUAAAAAAAAAAUUGUACUAUUUAUUAUUAUUAAAAAAGAUUUCUUACUUUCAAUUAAAAUUACAUAUUUACAUAAGAAUAUAAAGUUCCCUUUCCAAUUGCAUGUUUUUAGUCUAGACAUUUAUUGUCUUUGAUAGGGUGGAAAAGUCAUUGCAUUCUUGAUUUUUAUUAACAAUUGUGUGGAAAAGUUGUUGUUUUCCUAAUUCUUGUCAAUAAUUGUGUUCAAAAGUCAUUGCAUUCCUAAUUCUUAUCAACAAUAGUUUUUAAGGAAUCUAUACCUAAUAUUCACAUUAUCAAUAGUAUAUGAAAAUGAUCCUAAUUGAUGUGAGUGGUCUAAUUAGAGUGAAGUAUAUAAGAAUAUCAUUUAUUAAAUCUUAGUAUUAAAAUAAAAAGUAGCAAUUGAAUCCAUUAUAUCAAGACUUGAGGAAUGUGAGGAAUCUAAAUUAAUUUUCUUUCCCUAUAAGGUAGAAUUUGCAUUGAAACUCCAUCUACUUUAAUUUAAGGGAUAGCACAAACAAAGUCGUAGGUGUGACAUGCUUUUAUGUAAAAACAAUUUAAGAGUGGUUUGUGCUUUUUAUAAUAGGUAUCAUGAAAAAGAACAUGCUCAAAAUGUAAAUUUUUUAUUUUUUUAAAUAAUAUUACAUUAUUUUAAUUCAAUUUUCAAGUUAAUUAAAAGCAAAACUUAGAUCAUGGAUUGGACAUAAUGACAAUAAAUUUCUCCUAUUAAUAGAUUUAACAAUAAAAAAGAUGAGUCUUUUUUUUUUCAAGUUAAUUACUAAUUUCUAAAAUUUUUAUUAUGGUAACAAAUGUUAAUAUUUUGAAAUAUUUGAAAAUAUGUUAAUUAUCAUUUUUUGCCAAAUUAUUAAUCUUCAAAUAUUUUUAUUUUAAUUAUAUAAAAUAAAAACAAAUAUAAUAAUUAUUUUAUUACAAACAAAGAAAUUUAAUUAUUAAUUUUUAGUCUUAGCUUAUAAAAGGAAGUAGAUUUAACACUUACAAGAACACCACUUUUAAACAAAUAUGUUAUUCCAAGUUAUACAUAUAGUUCUAUUACAUUUAAGUUGAUGCCAGUGGUAUGAUCAUAGUGAUGUAUAUAUUAGUAUUAAAACAAAAAGUCACAAUUGAGUCUUUUGUAUUUAGACUAAGGAAUAAUUAUAACAAUGGUGAAACCUAGAUUAAUUUUUUCCAUCUUUAUAAGGUAAAAUUUGUAUUGAAACUUCAUCUAUUUCAAGGCAUAGCACAAAUGAAGUUGCAAGGAUGACAUGCCUUCAUGUAGAAAUAAAAUAGAAUUUCAUUGUCUAAAUAGGAUAUUUUAUUAUUAUUGUAAACAAAUUUUUUUACUUCUUCCUUUGUUAGCAUCAAGAACUCAGAAAAUAUUUGCUUCACAAUGUUGAGCAUUGAUGCAUCUAUUUAAUAGUGAUUUGUGCCUUUUAGAUUACAUAUUUUGAAAAAAGAUAUGUUCGAAAUGUAAAUUUUACUAUUAUUUUUUUUUUCAAAUGAUACUCUAUUAUUUCAAUUUAAUUAAAAGGGAGACUUAGGCCAUGGGUCAAACACAAUGACAAUAAAUUUGUCCAGAUGGAUUUAACAAUCGCAAAUAUGGUUUUCUUUUUUUUGAAUACAUAUAAAAGAGAAUUUAUGAUCUAGUUUUUUUAUAGACUUAAAAGAACAAAAAAAAUCAAUUAUUGAAUAUACCUACCAAUUCAAUUACCUUAGAAAAAUUAAAACUUGUGCAUAUUUGUUGCUCAGUUUACAAUUCUUAACAAAUUAAUAGAAAAGAAUUAAACAUUCAAGGCAAAAAAAAAUAGGUCCAUUCAAUUUUCCUUUGAAAUGAUAGUGGGUUGUUUUAAUGGGAUUUGAAGUUUGGGUCAAACUUGAUAUAAUAUUGUUUUACCCUUGAAAUUGAUAACGAUAAUGGGUCAUGUAUAAUGGGAUUUGAAAUCCAAAUCUUAGUGGGAUAUGAACUCUAAGUCAAAUAAUGAUAAUUGGUUUGUUUAGUGGGAUUUAAAAUUUGAGUCUUAAUGGUCUUCGAAGUCAUCAAAUAAUGAUAAUUGGCAUGUUUAGUGGAACUUGAACUUUGAGUUUGAAUGGGGUUUGAAGUUUGAGUCAAACUUGAUAUAAUAUUUUACCCAUAAUUGGCCAUCUUUAAUAGCAUUAGAAGUCAUAGUCAAACUUGAUGUAAUGUUUUACCCUUGGAAAUAAUAAUGAUGAUUGGUGGGAUAUGAAGUCCAAAUCUUAGUGGGAUAUGAACUCUAAGUCAAAUAAUGAUAAUUGGUUUGUUUAGUAGGAUUUGAAAUUUAAAUCUUAAUAGGAUUCAAAGUCGUCAAAUAAUGAUAAUUGGCCUGUUUAGUGGGACUUGAACUUUGAGUCUGAAUGGGGUUUGAAUUUUGAGUCAAACUUGAUAUGAUAUUUUACCCACAAUUGGCCAUCUUUAAUAGGAUUGGAAGUUAUAGUCAAACUUGAUAUAAUAUUUUAUCCUUUGAAAUAAUAAUGAUAAUUGGUGGGAUAUGAAGUCCAUCUCUUAGUGAGAUAUGAACUCUAAGUCAAAUAAUGAUAAUUGGUUUGUUUAGUGGGAUUAGAAAUUUAAGUCUUAGUAAGAUUCAAAGUCGUCAAAUAAUGAUAAUUGGCAUGUUUAGUGGGACUUGAACUUUGAGCUUGAAUGGGAUUUGAAGUUUCAGUCAAACUUGAUAUAAUAUUUUACCCACAAUUGGCCAUCUUUAAUAGGAUUGGAAGUCAUAGUCAAACUUGAUAUAAUAUUUUACCCUUUGAAAUAAUAAUGAUAAUUGGUGGAAUAUAAAGUCCAAAUCUUAGUGGGAUAUGAAAUCUAAGUCAAAUAAUGAUAAUUGGUUUGUUUAGUGGAAUUUGAAAUUUAAGUCUUAAUAGGAUUCAAAGUCGUCAAAUAAUGAUAAUUGACAUGUUUAGUGGGACUUGAACUUUGAGUCUGAAUGGGAUUUGACAUUUGAGUCAAACUUGAUAAUUUUACCCUUAAAAAUAAUAACAAUAAUUGAUCAUAUUUUAUGGGAUUUGAGAUCUUAGUCAAACUUAAUAUAAUAUUUUAACCAACAAUGAAAAAUAAAUAAGCAUAUGAUACGAGCUAAGAACUCAUUUCAAAAGUAGGGUCAAAAAUGGUUUUAAAUGCUUAAAAAGUGUGUUUUGCUAUAUAAAAAAAAAUCGUUUUAACGUUAGAAAAUAUAGAUACUUCUUCUAAAAGCCAUUACAAGAAAGACAUGAAAAAUAUUAAAAUUUCAAAUAAAUUUUCAUGUUUGAAAAACAUAUUUUUCUUGCAUUUUUAUUAAAAAUAUGUUCAAACAUACUCUUACAUGAUCUACUUGAGUUCCUAAAAUAAUUACAAACUCUAUUUAAUUUUUAUUUUAAAAUUUUUUUACCUAAGGGUGGAAAAUUCCUCCUCAAAUUAUACAUGGAUAUGAAUUAUUUGGAUGAAAAUUGGAGCUAAUAUCAUAAGAAUGACCUAUUUUAGUGGAAUAUAUAGUUAUUAUAAGAUAAAUCUCACUCAACUAUCUGUUUACUUAUAAGACAAAGUUCACUGCCUUGUAUAAUGGGGUGCAAAAAUACAUAUGAGUGGACACUUUUGACUUAAAGUAUAAUGAGAUGUAAAAAUACAUAUGAGUGAACACUUUUUACUUAAGAUCGUGUUUCACAAUAACAUGUCUUAAAUUUAAGUUCAAAGAAAAGUACCACUUAAACCUCCAAAGAACCCUUGAACAUAACAAUUGAAAAUAAAGAUAAACUCCCUCAUAUGAUAAUAAAAAAUAUUUUUCAAUUGUUAUAAAUUGUGAUCAUGUUACUUAUUAAGUUAAAUAAGAAGUAAAAAGGAUUUUAUAAAAAUGGUAUUUUAAAUGUGAAGUAAAUUUUAAAUGUGCUAAAAAUUUUAGGUCCUCUUUGGACGUGUUUUCUAAUGCUGGUUGAAAAGUUGUUUUUAUGUUAAAGAACAAAAGAUAGUUAUUUAGUAUUUUAUAAAAAUAAGGAUGUUUGAUAAGUUGUUUUUUCAAAAAAUAAAAAUAAGAACUUUUUUGGAUAAGUUGUUUAUAAAAAUAAUUUUCCUAUUUUGAUUUUGUAAAAACAUUAUAAAUUUAAUUUAUGUAAUAUUAAUUAAAUUUAAUUAAAGUCUUAUUGAAAAUAAAAAAAUAGUUUUUAAUUACAAAUAAAUUAAAAAAAUAAAUAGUUUUUAGUAAAAUAUGAACAAUAAUAUUAUAAUAAAAUCAUAAAUAAAAAAAAUUAUAAAAAAAUAUUAUUUUAGUAUAUUUUUUAUGCUAAAGCUCCUAAUGGGCUUCGAAGUCAUCAAAUAAUGAUAAUUGACAUGUUUAGUGGGACUUGAACUUUGAGUUUGAAUAGGGUUUAAAGUUUGAGUCAAACUUGAUGUAAUAUUUUAUCCACAAUUGGCCAUCUUUAAUAGGAUUGGAAGUUAUAGUCAAACUUGAUAUAAUAUUUUACCCUUGGAAAUAAUAAUGAUAAUUGGUGGGAUAUGAAGUCCAAAUCUUAGUGAGAUGUGAACUCUAACUCAAAUAAUGAUAAUUGGUUUGUUUAGUGGGAUUAGAAAUUUAAGUCUUAAUAGGAUUCAAAGUCGUCAAAUAAUGAUAAUUGACAUGUUUAGUGGGACUUGAACUUUGAGUCUGAAUGGGAUUUGAAGUUUGCGUCAAACUUGAUAUCAUAUUUUACCCACAAUUGACCAUCUUUAAUAGGAUUGGAAGUCAUAGUCAAACUUGAUAUAAUAUUUUACCCUUUGAAAUAAUAAUGAUAAUUGGUGGAAUAUGAAGUCCAAAUCUCAGUGGGAUAUGAAAUGUAAGUCAAAUAAUGAUAAUUGGUUUGUUUAGUGGGAUUUGAAAUUUAAGUCUUAACAGGAUUCAAAGUCGUCAACUAAUGAUAAUUGGCAUGUUUAGUGGGACUUGAACUUUGAGUCUGAAUGGGAUUUAACGUUUGAGUCAAACUUGAUAAUUUUACCCUUGAAAAUAAUAACGAUAAUUGGUCAUAUUUAAUGGGAUUUGAGAUCUUAGUCAAACUUAAUAUAAUAUUUUAACCAAUAAUGAAAAAUAAAUAAAUAUAUGAUAUCAACUAAGAACUCAUUUCGAAAGUAGGGUCAAAAAUUGUUUAAAAUGCUUAAAAAGUGUGUUUUGCUAUAAAAAAUAAAUCAUUUGAAAAAAAAAAUCGUUUUAAAGUUAGAAAACAUGAAUAAACACUUAGAUAUUUCUUCUAAAAGCCAUUACAAGAAAGACAUGAAAAAUAUUAAAAUUUCAAAUAAAUUUUCAUGUUUGAAAAACAUAUUUUUCUUGCAUUUUUAUUAAAAACAUGUUCAAACAUAUUCUUAUAUGAUCUACUUGAGUUCCUAAAAUAAUUACAAACUCUAUUUAAUUUUUAUUUUAAAAUUUUUUUACCUAAGGGUGGAAAAUUCCUCCUCAAAUUAUACAUUGAUAUGAAUUAUUUGGAUGAAAAUUGGAGCUAACAUCCAUAUCAUAAGAAUAACCUAUUUUAGUGGAAUAUAUAGUUAUUAUAAGAUAAAUCUCACCCAACUAUCUCUUUACUUAUAAGACAAAGUUCAUUGCCUUGUAUAAUGGGAUGCAAAAAUACAUGAGUGGACACUUUUGACUUAAAGUAUAAUGGGAUGUAAAAAUACAUAUGAGUGGACACUUUUUACUUAAGAACGUGUUUCACAAUGACAUGUGUCUUAAAUUUAAGUUCAAAGAAAAGUACCACUUAAACCUCCAAAGAACCCUUGAACAUAAUAAUUGAAAAUAAAGAUGAACUCCCUCAUAUGAUAAUAAAAAAUAUUUUUCAAUUGUUAUAAAUUGUGAUCAUGUUACUUAUUAAGUUAAAUAAGAAGUAAAAAGGAUUUUAUAAAAAUGGUAUUUUAAAUGUGAAGUAAAUUUUAAAUGUGCUAAAAGUUUUAGGUCCUCUUUGGAUGUGUUUUCUAAUGCUGGUUGAAAAGUUGUUUUUAUGUUAAAGAAUAAAAGAUAGUUAUUUAGUAUUUUAUAAAAAUAAGGAUGUUUGACAAGUUUUUUUUAAAAAAAGUAAAAAAUAAAAAACUUUUUUGGAUAGGUUGUUUAUAAAAAUAAUUUUUCUAUUUUGAUUUUGUAAAAACAUUAUAAAAUUAAUUUAUGUAAUAUUAAUUAAAUUUAAUUAAAGUUUUAUUGAAAAUAAAAAUAGUUUUUAAUUACAAAUAAAUUAAAAAAUAAAUAGUUUUUAGUAAAAUAUGAACAAUAAUAUUAUAAUAAAAUCAUUAAAAAAUAUUAUUUUAGUAUAUUUUUCAUGCUAAAGCUCCUAUGAAAUUUUAGGUAGAUACAUGUCUUCUAGUGGAUAAUUAUAGUCUUUUUCAACUCGGAGAUCCUUCACGACAUGAGCCACCAACCAUUCCUCAUACAAAAUCUUGCCAAAUUAACCUUGAGAAUAUUCCUCAACAUCCUAUUCCUCUUCAUCUCAACCAUCCUCUCCCUUUGUCUCCUCCACCUCUCUUGAACACCACUCCCCUCCGCCCCAAUCUCCCACCCUCUCAUCUCAUGGUCCAGGUGCUAAAGUCAUUGAAUACAUCUUGUAUUGUAUUCAAUCCCAUGUUUUUCUGGCCUCAUAAAUUCUAAACCCUAUCUAGGUUUUCCAAUUUUGUGAAAAAUUAUAUGGAUUAAAUUCAAUGUUAGAGACAAAAUUUUGAACAAAUCUGCAAAAACGCUCAACAGUUGUGGUCAUAGCUCAUGACCAAGAUGGGAGUCUACAAUGUAAUAAUGCUGAUGAAUGAUUCAAAGACUGCUCCAACUAGAUUUUGAAAAUUGUCUAUUUUCCAACAUUUUUGUAUUGAGCUAUUCUCGUAUAAACGGAUUGAAAACAGUUUUUUGAAAAUUUGUUUAAAAAUAAGAGGACUUUUCAUAAAAAAAUUCAGGGUGUUUUAUUAGAGCAAUAGGAGACAUGGAGAAUAUGCCGAUAACUUUUGCAGUGUACAUCAAUGCAUAAUACUUUCAUAGAGAAGAGACUUUUAUUUAAAAAAAAAAAAAAAAAAUUGACUCCUAAUAGAAUUUUAUUACUCCAAACAUUCAGGAGCUAUUCUUAAAAAUCGAUUUGUAAAAAUUAUCGAGCAGACCCACAAUCUGUUCGAGUAACAAAUGGAAAACUUACCAUUUGAUCUUAUUCCAACUACAAUUUAAAAAAAGAAAACAAACAAACAUAUAAAUCCUUAGACAGGACCGAGCAACAAGCAUUGUGGUUUUGUUGUCUGUGGGUGGUCAAAUUUAUCAGUAACCCAAGACUUCCAUGCUCACAAAAGCUCCAUUUUAAUCAAAGGUUGGUGAGAAAAUUACUAACAGGCUCAAGUCUCAUCUUAAAUAGAAGGAAAACAAAAACAUUAUUUACAUGCUUCACCAAUGAAACAUUCAAGUUAUGCAUUGAUAACCAUAAUUUCUGGGGAUAUAACGCUGUUCAACAAGAUUAAUGCAUUUGUGAAGCUCAGACGAAUCGCAAAGAUCAUAGAUGAAAAUCUCUCUAGCAUUACCAAAUAAAAGGUACAACGAAGAAAAAGUUGAUGUAUGUGAUCUUGCUUGGGACUGAGGUGGAUCAAUGUUCAAUAUUUUCCUAAAAUAAGCAGACUAAUUAGUGUAAGAAAUAUUGAUUCAUAUAGAACUUUAACCACAAAAUUCAGAAUUAACUAGGAAGAAGAUGAAAAUACAGAGAAAACUUGAGGGAAGGAGCUAAGACACAGAUGGAGGGAUUGGCUUCACAGCAUUUUGGAUCCGCUGGAAUGCCACUCUCACUCUUUCCUUGAGGCCUUCAUUUUCGCUCUCAACAUUCCCACUCUGUUUAUCAAGAUGCACCACAUUUCCAUCAACGCUUAUCACCAGGUUCCCAUUCCCUUCCAACUUCACAUCUCCAAACAGAGAAACAAGGAGUGCGUGGAUAACCUUUUCUGCUUUCUUCCCAUUUUCUUCUUCAGUUUUCAUGGCCUCUGAUUCAACUACUACCUUGGGGAUCUCAAGACUGAUAUUUAAAACUAGAGCCACAAUGGAGUCAGAGACCAUGUCACUAAUUGGAUCUGAUGUCCAACGCAAUGAAAUAUGCUUCUCCGACUCAUGCUUCACUGUCACCCGUUCAUGGACUUGAAAAGCUGGAACCUCAGAUUCUUCAUCUGGCAAUGACUCAACACUCUCAUAUAUCUGCUUCAGCCUGUGCUUUAUUACACCAAAGGCACCAGUGUAAGGAAUAGUAAUCCUCUGGGUGACAUUUGCCGUGGAUAGCUGUGAGAAGACAUGGAGAUCAUCAGGUGCCAUUAUCUGAUAAGUGAACCCUUUCUUUACCAGUAAACCACUGACAAUUUCACCAACUUCUGGGGUCUUUUCAGCCAGCCUCUCAAUGGUUUUUGCCAUUUUUUCAGAGUUGAAAUACAUUUCAACUGACUGACAGUUCUUUGGGGAAAUAAUUUUGGUGUUGCAGUCAGCAAACUGGGUGAUAAGCUUCUGUUUGAGCCUCCCCAUCUCAUUAGCUUCUCCAUGAACAAGAAUGAUGUUAGGUGGCAUGAGCUCCUUCAAGAAUGUACUUGUCUGUGCAAAAUCUGCAUGGGCAGAGAAAGAAAUGUAAUGGACCUGCAUGUUGAGGGGAGCAGUAAGACCAUUCAUUAAAGUAACUUCCUUGGGUUCAUUAAUGAUGGUUUUUGCCAAUGUCCCUCCCACGACAUACCCAGGUAUAACACAUGCAUUUUUCUUAUCAGAGCACCACAUAUCAAACAGUUGUCUUGACAACCCACUCUGAAGCCCACCCGGGCUCGCCAUCACCACUGAUGGACCUACAUCAUUAAAAUUCUCAAUGCUCUUUAAGGGUGAUAUGUGCUUGAAGUCAAAGGGAUUCGAAUUUGCAAAUUGGUUGCGGAUCCUCUCAUUCAUGGAAUUGAUAUAUGUCUGGUAAACAGCCAUGCACCUUUUUGCAAGGGGGGAAGCAUAAAAUAUGGGAUGUUAUGGAGCUCAGGAUGGUUAGACCAAUACUCAUCAAGGAUAAGAAGGAGUUCUUGGGCACGACCUAGAGCAUAUGCAGGGAUUAGAACACGGCCCCCUUGAGAAAUGGUUGAGUGGAUGACAUCUGUGAAGCGUUUUUCUCGCACAUGCCGAGGCUGAUGGAGUUGGACACCAUAAGUGGAUUCAAUUAUGCAAAUAUCAGGGCAGAACUGUGGAAUCUCAGCAGCACGGAGAUGACGAUCUUCUUCGCUAGAAUAGUCUCCAGUGUAAAGUACUCGGACACCAGCAAUAUCAACCAUAAACAUGGCAGCACCAAGGACGUGGCCAGCUGUGUAACACCAAAAUCGUAUACCAUUUACUUCUAAAGUCUGAUGGAAAUCAAUAACCUGCAGAAGGGAGAUUUAAUUACAGUUACAGGAAGAUUAAAUGAGAUAAGAAAAUUAAGCUACAUAUCUAAAGUCAAUUGUUGUAAAUGGCCCAACAUUCUGCAAUAGAUCAGGAUUAUAUGCAACCAAUAUUUUGGCAUAUGAGAUACACACACACACACACACACCAUAUUGCUUUUUUUAGUGAACAAGUUUUAUAUUUUAUUAGAUUAGUUAUGUAACAAUUUUGAAACUAAAUUCAGAAACAAUAGAAAAAAUGUUGUUGUGGAACACAAAACAUGAAUUAAUAUUAGAAGUAUAGCCAUUUAAAUCUUAAUAGACUAAUUCCUACUAUGUUAGUUUUAUUUGUCCAGAACUGAAGACAAAACUCAUCUGCUCUCAUGGAAGGUGAAGUACAGAAAGCCCACAGAUGUUAUAGAGAUCUAAAACAGUAGUACUUACACUCAGGUAGAAUCUAUGAUUCAGGUAUGAAUGUCUAUGGUAGAAAGAUUAAGGCUUUAGGACAAGGUAGUAGACAUUUGUGGCACUAUUAAUUUCAAAUAAGAGUCCCAAGAUAGAACAUUAGAGCUAUUCGCAAAUUUAAAUAACCAGAUUUAAGCUAAUCUGUGAUACAUGGACCAUUGUGACCAUAACUUUUGUGUUUUUUUUUUUUUUUUUGAUAGUUAUUGUAACCAUAACCUUUUUUUUUUCCUGAUAGACAUUGUGACCAUAACUUUUCAGGCCUUUAAAAAAGGAAGUGCAAGAGAAGGAUUUCUCAUCCUUCCCUACUUUACAAAACCUGAUUUAAAAAUGGAAGUGCAACUGUGCAAGAGAAGGAUGAGAAAUCCUUCCUUACUUUACAAAACCUGAUCAAAACAGAGGAAAAGAAAUACUCUCCAAUAAACAUCAAAACAACUCGACAUUGCAAUUUUAACACUUCGGAUCUACAAGUCGACAUCCAAUCAAGUUGAGUUAUGUUGAGAAAUUCAUGCCUUAAAACAGAUAGUUACAUUAAAGGCACAACCAUAAUCAUAAAUCCAUUUACUGAGAAGAAAACAAUGCUGAGAAAAGCAAUGGGAACUUCAACAUAAUCAAAGAAAGUGAAUGAUUGGGGUUUUUCUGAAGGAAUUUUAGCUGAUAGAUUCAAUUAUUUGUAACCUCUCGCACUCUUACAUAUGAAAGUACAUGUUCAAGUUUGUGUAUGGACACUUUAUGCAGAGAAUGGGUAGGUCCAUUAACCCUUUCAUCCCUCCAGAACCCCAGAAAAGGAACCUGUAAUGGCCAACGGCCUUUGUAUAGAGUGAUCCCUCUAAUACAGCUACAGAGAAUACUCUCAAAACCAUGCUUAUAGUAGUAGAUCACUAACUAUUGAUGUGCUUUCAACCAUUUCAAGAGCACUCAUCAGCCAUGCAGUCAGAAUUUCAACUGGAGUAAAGUUGGGCUCAAGAAAGUCUACUCAAAGCCGAAAAAAUCUCAAGGCCAGACAAGAGCCCAGGGACAGAUUUCAAUUUUAGGAAGCUAUUUCAUACGAGGAAAGGAAUCUCCAAGAGUUUAUUCCUUGAGAAAAAAGAAAUAUUAGCAAACGGAAUGAAGAAGCCAUUGAGAAGCAGGAGAUAUUCAGAUAAUGACUUAAAAUUUGGGUGGUAGAUGUAGUCUCAUUACUUUAAAAAUAUAUCUGCAGUGCUCCUAAUAGCACCAGAUAUUGAUAAGAGAAGGUGCGGAUGGAGUACUUGCAGCUGGUCCCAGUCAAAUCUUUAUAUGCUUUAACAAUAGUUGUUUGGUCACUUUUUCUAAGUAAGGCCAUUCAGGACAGAAUUCAUUCAAUGAUUUUUUUUUUUUUUUUUUUGGAAGAAAUAUGUCCAUACCCAGGUAUAUAGUACAAUAUAAAAGAACAAUCAUGAUAUUCUCUAAAUUUCAUUUCUCAAUUCAGCAGAUCAUUAAGUUAUAAAAACAAAUAACAUUACAAUAUUCAACAAGGAAAAAGAAUAUACUGUGUCACCAAAAGGACAUCAAUGGUUGAAGGAUCAAUCUCAUCAAAGUAUGGCAAAGCAGCCAUGACUGAGUAUGCGGGAUGAAUUCCACAGUCAAACUAUCAUCACAGAACAGGAACAUAAUAGAAACAAACAAAUUAAAAAAAAUAUCGAAAACAAAGUAUAAAAACUAGCAACCAAAAUAAACGAAUAAUGCAUUAUGGUAUACCAAUAUGGUUUUCCCUUUAUAGGACAUGUAGACACAGGAACGGCCCACUUCAUUUCCAGCACCUAGAGGGGUAAUAAUCAGCUGGUCUCCUCUUGUUAAUGAGGAAUCUGGUCUCUUCAAAGACUGCGAUGGCCCUGUAGAUGCCAUUCUUCAACUGAACAAUUCUCAGACCCCUUCAAUUAACACCACUCUAUUUUCAUGCAAAAUGCUCUGCAACCGAUUAAAAAAUACAAAAAAAAGAUUCAAAAAAAAAUAAAAAAACGCUUCAUCAUAAAUAAAAUGAUACCCAAAAAUAAAUACAAUUCCAACAAAAGACAUUUUUUCUCUGGGAACUCCAGUUAUUUUGGUGAAUAUAUUUCUGUUAAGCUUGGGAAAAAUAAAUUUUGACUUUCAGUAAAAUAACUCUGUACAGUUGAAAUUUAUAUUUCCCUGAGAACAUCUUCAAUAGAAAUAACCUAUCUCCCCAAUUGAAGCUCAAAAUUCAAAAUCCAGUACGAGAAAGCACUGUUUGUUUGCUGAGAAAUUGCAGAACCAAAAAUUUAAAUCUUACAGCUCUCAGCACUCAUCCCCCUAGAAAGCAACAUAAAAGCGCAAGAUUCAAUUGCUUCAUUUCCCUCUCUUCUCCUCACUUUUCUCAGCAACCAAACACAACAACCUUAUAUAAAUAAGGAGAGAGAGUGAAGUAGAAGAAAGAAGAAACUCGAAACUUAUAAAAAAAAAGCAUAGUAUGAAGGCAAUUAUAAGAGAUUCAAAAUUUUCAACUCACUUGGUUGCAUUCCCCAGGACUUUCUCGGGAACCAAACAGACGGGAGGAAGAAAAAACAUAAACUUCAGAACAAAGAAAGAAGAAAUGCAUAGAAAAUAGCAGAGGGAGAAAGUUUCGAGAGAGCUAGAGAGGUUACAGUUAUGAAAUGAUUUCAGACCAUGCAGAGGAAGAGAUUGAACUAAAACCCCAAUUUUGAGAAGAUGCUUCCCUCUUUGCCUCACCCUCUGAAAGAUUGAUAAAUACCGGGCUGGAAUGGUCGGUCCGGACAGUCUUCAAGGAGUUCUUGAAAAAGAAUCUGAAGUACAUCUAUGAACAAUCACAUAUGCAUUUGGGCAAUCUAUAGGUUCUCCAUCUGCUCUCAUCGCUGAACUACCACAUUCCUUCAGAUAAAUGGACCUGCCACCUCUGGUUUAUUAAAGACUAAAACAAUUUCCGUUGAACAGGUCUUUGCAUAAACCUUCUUUGGGGCAGGAGACUGAUGUGGAGUAUACUUAAGUCGUUUUCAGAUUAGUAUUUGAAUUGACCUUCUGAGGGGUGCCAAGUGCAAUUCACCAAAAUCCCAAACUGGAAUUAGUCCAUCUCCCAUUUCCUUUGAAAUACUCAACAAUUUAGUUUCUUUUUCUAUCAAGUUUGCCUUCAACUUUUCAAUAUCAGCCUACAUUUUCUCUAGUUUCGUCUGUGGUUCAGCUUGUAUUGGACUGGGUCUAGAUUUUGCGUGUUCUACAUGCUCAUAAGUGCUUCCAAACUACACCAUGUCCUGAACAUAUUCUUUCUGAUACCUGACCUUGGCAUCAAGAGCAGAUUUUAAAUGUCCCAUCUUUAAGACCAGAUUACUACUUAUGAAGUAGUCUAGGCUCUCCUUCAAACGGCUGAGACAGUGAGCAUUGUAACCACUGCCAAAUACUUUGUUAGUUGCUGAAAGAAAGCUUGGGUUCCUAUCUGAAAUUAGAACCACAUGACAAUUCAUCAGUAAAUACUUCAGAUGCUCUAGGAACCACAACCAGUUUUCUUCAUUAUCAGUAUUAACCACCCCAUAAACUAGAGGAUAUUAGUCAUCAUCUACAUCUAAGGCAGAUGCAGACAACAAAGUGUCUUUAUGUGGCCCACUCAAGUGAUAGGCGUCAACAAACAGCAACUCCCUGGAAUUGACUUCAUAAGUCGCUUGCACAUCCAUGGAAUUAGCUUGUAAGAGUCCUCUGGCUUUCCAAAAUUCGCUGUGCUGGAGAAAGUCCAAUAGUGAGGGCUGCUGCUGAGCGAAUGCAAUAGUUCCUUUACAUGCAGUUGAGCCACCAGCCUGUUAAUUUCUCAGCUCAUGGCGUAGGUGAACAUUAAGCUGCUGAAGAUAGACUGGCUCUCUACAUCAGAUCACAUUGAUUUGUUUGGAGUUGCCCAAUUUCUUUGGCAAAUCUUCAUUUUCGUGUCUCGAAUUGUGGUUCAGUUUCCUUACUUCUUCUACCUCUGGACAUUCCAAAACAAAACUUGCAAAGGCUUGAAUGGCUUCUAAACUUUCUGCCAAUUCAGAAUUUUCCAACUGCAGGUUCACAUUAGAGUUCUUCUAACUCCUCUGCUUCAGCAGCCUCAAAGCAUUCCUUUUUAGCAGCUUCACGCUCUUCUGUUGCAAAUCCUCUUUGAUCACUCUCAAUAAUUACCAAUAAUUUUUGCUUGGGUUGAAGAACAAACCUUCUUGGUGUAUACCUUAAAGGAAUCGCAGAUUCAUUAAAUGUUUCACCCAGUCAUUCAAUAGUGAAGACUAUGCAACCAUGAAGGAAAGUGAGUCAAUGCAUGAACUAAUGGGUCGGGCCUUGUGGUGCCUAAAGUGGGCCUAGGUGGGCCAAAGUAAACCUAAGUGAGCUUAGAAAAGUGCUCUAGUGACCUAGAGUGAACUAAGUGGAAUUUAACUUAAAGUGCACCCAAAGUAAAGCCUAACCUAAACUCAAAGGAUGACUAAUGUCACAAUGAGAAGCCAGAUAAACCCUCAACCAAAGUCUCUAAGGUGGCUCAGAGAAGGCAAAUUGCAUAGUAGUAAUUAGCUACAAAUGAACCAUUGUAAAAUACUAAACGAGCCCUCAAUAGAACAUGUGUUAAGGGGACAAAAUGGAGGGUCUACAGUAAUAGAACAAAAAUUCUAAAAUCUUCAAAUCUCAACUUUUAAACCAACAUAUCAACCAUAAUAUUUUUGUCUGAGCAAUUUCAAACUAAAACAAUAGCUAACAAUAAUUAAAUUCUAAUAUUUAACAAAAUCCCAAAAAGAGAGUUUAAACAAAUAUCCUAAUAAAGCCAAAAUUUUCAUUUCUCACCCGAACUUAGGGUACUUGAAAAAUUAACAACAAAGGGGGAUGAACUCAAAACUCAAUAAAAAACAUUAAUAUAGUUUCAUAGAUCAAAUAUUUUCAUUCAUGCUUCCAAAUAGGAGAUAUAGGGUAUAAUCAUUUUCAUAAAACGUUUGAGUUCAAACAUGCUAAUACAUUUUAAACAGUUCAACCAAACAUUUUCAUAUAUAUCAAAACCAUUUCAUAUCAAAUCCAAAUCAAAUACAUUUCAAUUAUUUUUAUUCUAGUUACCAAACAAUAAAUGGCGCUUAGUUAAGUGAAACUUUACAAAUGGGUAGUUAGCCUCAAAUUUGUUCCUUUUAAGGUGGACAGAAUCAAAAGUAACCUCUAAUCAAAGCCCUCAAGGUUGGGGUCUAAAUCAAUUAUAUUUUUCACCACAAAAAUGAAAAGGUCAACUAUUAUAUUUCGUUGACAAGGGCCGAAAAGUCAAUUAUUAUACUCCAUUGAUAAGGACCAAAAAAAUUAAAAUCAAAUUCUUUGUUUUAUUUAUUCAAACUUACGGAAACAUAAGACCUCCAUAUAUUCUAUUAUAAACAAAAGAAAUGUUAUAAUAUAUUUUUCAUGCAAAAAUAUAUUUGAUCCAUACAUAAAAGCAAAAAUAACAUUUACAUAUAUAUAUAUAUAUAAUUAUCUUCUUUUGCAAAGUUUGUAUUAAUUUCUCUUAGCUCAAAAGAGUCCUAAAAAACCUUGGAGAGAAAUAAUUAUGGAAAAUCUAUUCUUCACUUAACAUAACAUAAUAGAAAUAAAUAUUACUAUUUAUCUACAAUUUAAUUAAUCUAUUCCGUAUUUAAAUAAAAUUAAUAAAUUUCUAAUUUGAUUCUAAUAACACAUUACUAAUUUAAUUAAAUUGCAAUUUUAUUUCAUUAUAUAUAUAUAUAUAUAUAUAUAUUUUACUAAAUCUCUCAUUCUAUUUAUUACAUUAAACCAUUAUUACUAUUAUCUUAUUUAUUAACCUAGACCUAAAUAUUAUUAUUUUAUUAAUUAUCAAAUUCAAUAGCCACCCAAACCAUUACCCACUUGUCUCCGGGACACACAAAACCAAUAAAACAAAGCAAGUUCUUUCAAUUGUCAUCAUCAUUAUUAUGAUGAUUCAUUAUUUAUUUAUUUAUUCUUGGUUUUCCAAGUUCUUCCUUCCAUCCAAUGCACAUGCCUCUUUUUUAUUCUUUAUUUCUUUCUUAACCCUAACACGUCUUUUUUUUUUUUUUUACUUCUAGGAAUGUGCACACAAAUACAAUGCCUCAAAACCAUAAAUACAAGUAUCUAUAUAUCACCCCUCCAAAAUCCAGAAAUCAUGUAAUUCUUCUUAUUAUUUAUUUAUUUAUUUUCUUUUCAAUCUAAAGUCUCCACUAACGACUUAUUUAUUUAUUAUCUAAAUCUAAAAUUUCUUUUCUUCCUCUGUUUUUUUUCAUUUUAAAUUUAUUUAUUUAUUUUUCUAUUCCAUUGAAAUUUUUGAAAUUUUCCUAUCUUCAUCAAUAAAUCAACCUAUACUUGCAAUUUUUCAAACAUUUUGAUCUAAAAGUUUAAUAAACAAACCCUAAUCUAGAUUUAGAUUUUCCAAAAAAAUAUCUAAUAUGUUUUAAAGUAACUAACGAAUCUAAAAUAUUAAUCUAGGGGUUAGAAUCUUAUCGGAAAAGUAUGGACUUCAAACCUUAAACCUUCAAACCUUCACCCCUAUGUUCACCAAUUCUCUAAUUUUGGUUAAUAAGGUUUUUGGAAUAGAGAAGACAAGAAAAAAAAAAUCUAAUUCAUACCUAGGACUAUUAAUGGAAAAAAUGACAUUUUUCCCCUAAUGAAUUUAAUUAAUUUUUAAUUUACUAUUUUACCCUUAAAAUUAAUUUGGGGUGUUAUAGUAUCAAUGGAUGAAAAAAAAAAAUCAAAAGGCUUAGGUCAUAAAUUUUAUUUCAAAAUCAUUUAAGAAUUAAUUAAUUAAAACUCAAUUUUUAAGUUUUUAAAUUUUAAAUUCCUCCCUUAUUCAUUAUUGGAUUGAAUUCUUUUAACUAUUUUUCCCUCUUUUAACUUUAUUAUUUCUUUCAUAAUUUUUAUCAUUAGAACAUAUAAGCUUUCUUGUUUCUCUUAAGAUUUUGUAAAUCAUUUAUGUGAAAUUUUAAAACCAAAUUAGCUAUCAAUAUUUCUUCUACUUUUUUCUCAAUCAAAUGCAUGGUUUGUUGUUGAUACUUAUCUUGGUUCAUCUAUAAGUGAGACCAUACUUUUUUUUCCAUUUGGAAGUCCUAAGGAAUCGACAUGUAGCCUAUAACAAGGACUACCAAAUUAAUCAUUUAUAGUUUACAAUAAAAUAGAAUGCAUAUUAAAGGGGCUCUAGACUCGCAACUGUGAAUAUAUUGUUUGUUCUAGGUCCAACAGGUUUUCAAAAUUUCAAAAUAUGUUUACAAGGCUAAGAGGAGUCCAUACAAAUAUAAUAUAUAUGUAAAAUUGCAAGGUUAAACGUUUUUAGAGAAACACUUCAAUUAAAAGCAUUUCCAAUAAAAACACUUUCAAUCGAUCAUUAAUUAUCUUUAGUUAAUUAUCAUCAAUUCCUAAAUAUAUAUUUAUUCUCCUUAUCGGGGAUUUUACUAAAAUGCUUUUUUUUUUUUUUUAUCAAACUAAACUAUGCAAGUGUAGGAAGUAGUUCUGUUUAAUAUGCUCAUAUGCUCUUUAGAUCAUGUUCUCCUUGAGUUGCUUGUUUCUUCUUAACAAAAAAAAUACAGUUUGUCACCCAUUUUGAAGGGAGAUAAUAACGAAAAACUCAUAGUUAAAAAAAAAAAAAAAAAAAAGUGAUUUCAACAGUUUUGGGAAUUAUCACUCUCAACAAUCUAUUAAAAAAUUGUAAAGAUUACAUGUUGGCUCUCCCCAGCCCCAAGGACGCUUACUGUCACAAGAAACCCAUAUCCUAUCUUCCACCCCAAGCCUGCUUCUGCCACUCAAAGUCCAAUCACAAUAUUCAGAGCUCCCAAGAUGAGAGCAAGUCUCCCUACCAAGUGAUGUUACUAGUUCCAGUACUUGCGCUGUUUGGAUGUCUUGUCCGGCCUUAGAAUCAAUGCCAUUACCCAAGAAGAAGAAAACUUAGUUUUCAGCAUGCUUGAAGAAAUAUAUUUAGUUAAUGUCGAGUGAACGCCCAGGGAGAGUGAAAACAAACCUGAAGAAUGCCAAGGAAAAACACCAAGGAUCCGAGGGGUCUGUGAAUCUUGAAUUUGGGAAUGCGAUAAGACUCCAGUCCAUUGUAGAGUGUCCUUCCUGCGACGACAGUAGCAAGACCCGGAAGAAAACCCACAAUCUGGAUCGAGAUAUGAAGAUAAAACCAUUGAGGAUCAUGAUGCUUGAAGUAUCUAGGGAUGAUUGCCCCAGAUGGAAGGAGCACGUCCCAUGCAAUUAGGCCCAUGUCUCCAUGACGCGUCUCCAAAUCUCCAGUGUUAUUGACACCAGAGUUAUAUCCUGUGAGACACACAACAGAAAUUUUCCAUAUCAGACUUCAAAGAGUUUUAUCUGAAGCUCCCACUUUAUUUCCUAGAUAUAAGCCCCUCACGUCUAGAAUGUAAAAUCCUCUGUUCUCUGUUCAAAUUUCAGCUUUGCAAUUGGAGUCAAUACAUCUCGUAUUCAAUUCAAUCCUCAUCUUUUUAUGGCCUCCUAAAUUCUAUGACCCAGUUUUGUGAAAAACUACAUCAUGGGGACCCAAGAGGAUGGGAUUUGAUUCAAUGUUAGGUACAAAAUUUUGGAAAAAUCUGCAAAACCCUCAACAGUUGUGACCACAGCUCAAGACCAAGGUGGGAAUUUACAAUCUAAUAAUGCUGAUGAAUGCUUCAUAGACUGCUCUACGAAACUAGAGUUUGUUAGAAUGCCUGUCCUUUGUUGAAAGACAUGAAGAUCCUCACAUUCUCGAGCAGGAAGAACCUUGGCCGAAAGUAGUCGGCAAAGGAUAAGAAGGCUGGGAUCAUUUCACACUGAACUUUACUCCAACUACUCUGGUUAAACGUAUUCAUCCUAGAGAAAACCUGUGAAGAUAUUAACCAUGACAUAGACUUAAAUGUGAUACAUCCAACAUUCCCAUUAGUUGGUGUUGACAUCCAACUACCUCUUUGUCUACAACGAAUGGAAUUGAAAAGGAUUAUAUAAAGAAUUUGAUAAAUGUGUGAACUUCAUAUUUUCAUUAAAAUCAAAUCGUAUAAAUAAUACAUUGAAGCAAAACAGAAAGCAAUAACUAUAUCCUAUAUUUCAGCAAUAUUCAAGCUGACCUAUUCUUAAAGAAUACUAACAGAAAAAUAUUUGGAGGACUACAUUCAUCCCAGAGAAACCCUGUGAAGAUGGCAGCCUUGUUUUAGCUCUUUGAAUAGAGUGAAAUAACAUAGCAGAAGCUGAUCAAACCUGGCAUGGAGGGCCCCCCAUUAAUAAAAUCAACUUGUCCAAGCAUCCGGUGAUGCAGAUUGUUUGGCAGCCUCAGAAGUAGAGACACGGUCAUCGGCAUUCCCGCACUCCUCCACGACAGCCCUGCAUCACAACCAAUUUACGGGUCUAUUACAAAUGAGAGAGAGAAAAAGAGAUUUUCAUGUUAAUGAAAUCAUUCACCUUAGGAUCGAACUGAAACGAUAAACAUCAAUGAUUCCGGAUGAUUGAAUUUGAGUGCAUCCCCAGCAGGCUCUUCAUAUUCAGUAGCCUACUUGGUUACUGAUACACCUGCAAAGUUGAAAGCAACAGGAGGUAAAAUCAUCACAUUCUUUAAUAAAAAUGUCAUCACAUACGACUCUUUAGCUGAUAUAGAUACAAAUGAAGUACCUGCUUGAGGGGCCCUUCAAAGGAAAAUAUAUUCCAAAGGUUGCAAGGACAUCACAUGGUGGCAGAUCAUGCUUCUGAAUAACCUGCACAUUCCACCCUUCAAAUAUAUUAGAAAAAUAAUAUAAUUGUAGUUUUAUAUUAUAAUAGAAGUUCAAAAAAACAAGAGAAAUUAUGCACGAUUGCUUGCGCCCACCUCAUGGAUGUCAUAACAGUAUGCCUUCUUGCUUUUACAUUUUUCAGUAAUAAUUGAUCGAUAACGAAUUUACAUGGAGAAGUGAGAACCCUCAGCUAGUUUCAUCCCCAUGACCAUGACCCAGCAGCUCACCCAACGUAAUCACAGAAAACGGUUUUGGCAAUGGUGGCCACUGUUUUGAGAGUGCUCGAGCAACUUGUUGCAUAGUUGGCCGAGAUUGGGGAUUAACGCACAAACAUGCAAAUGCCAACUUCACUGCAACCACUACUUCCUCUGCCACUUGAUUCACAGGAGGUGAGGGGCGCUGGUCUAUCACAUCAUUCAGCAGGAAAUGGCCGACCGUUGAUGGUGAUGCAGAUGAGGAGGACGCUGAUGAUAACAGGGAUGAGAUAAGCUCUCCGGGAUGCCUUCCCAUAAUUACUUCUAAUGUCACAACACCGAAGCUGUAAACAUCGGUUUUAUUAUCCACCUUCAUUGUGUAAGCAAGUUCUGCAAAAGAAGAUUAGAUCAUGCUCUGCUCUGCUAAGCAAUUAGAAACGUUACAUAUGACGUAUAGAGGCCAUUUAGAGAUAAGCAAGGCACUAAGAAAAAUGUACCUGGAGCUGUAUAACCAAAAGUUCCUGCAAAUGAAGUCCAAUUAGAUGAGUCUGACUUUAAAAGCCUAGCCGUGCCGAAGUCAGAUACAUGAGCUUCAUAUUCUGAAUCUAACAAAACAUUGUUGCUCGAUAUGUCUCGAUGAAUUACAGGAGGUGAGCAAUCAUGGUGCAUAUACGAUAAAGCUUUAGCCACGCCUUUAAUAACGUUUAGCCUCACAAUCCAAUCUAAUCUUUCUGCUUCUUCGUCAUUGCAUAGAAUGUUUUGCAAACUCCCCUUUUCCAUAAACUCAUAAACCAAAAAUGAGUUCUCUGCAAAUGAACUGAAGCCAUAAAGCUUGACGAUGUUGCGGUGCCUUAUCUGUGUUAAAGCAUGAAUCUCGCUUUUGAAAGCUUUCAAAUCAGCCAUAUCUCCAUCUUCUGAUGAGUGAAGCUUUUUCACAGCAACAACCCGACCUGUUGGCAACUCAGCCUUGUAAACAGUACCAUAUCCUCCAGUGCCAAUACACUGUUUCGAACUGAAAUUGUCGGUCCCCUGUAUGAUGUGCUCAUACAACAAUUCCCCAUCAUGGCCCCAUAUUGCAAAUAGAUCUUCGACAUCUGCUUCUGGAGACUUGUUUUUUCUCUUCCUCAAUUUUUGGAAAAGAAAAAAAAUGCCAAUAACAAAAGCAAGUAAGAACAAUAGACUGCUCACAAGUAGGAGUAUUACUAUCAAAACAGAAAACUUGUUGGCCUUCUUUCGACUAGCACUGCAUGGCUUGAGAUGAGUGACAUUAUUACCACACAGACCUUUAUUAUUUUUGAAUGCCUCAAAUGGAGCGAAGGCUUUGAUGUUGGGGAGAGGACCUUCCAACUGAUUGUAGGAUAUAUCAACAACUGUCAGGCUUAUCAGAUCAUCAAACGUGUGUGGGAUGGUGCCAGAGAGCCCGUUAUGGGAGAGAUUCAACGUUUCCAGGUACUGUAAUUCUCCAAGUAGCGGUGGUAUCUCUCCUAUUAGCAUAUUUUGACUAAGAUCGAGACUUUCAAGAUGAUGCAACUUUCCAAUUUCAUCGGGAAUGCUAUCCACAAAUCUAUUCUCGCUCAAGUUGAAGGACCUUAAUUUCCAGAAGUUUCCCAGUUGUUUGGGAAUUGAACCGCUUAUGUUGUUUGAUGCCAAGUCAAGAAUUUCAAGAUUGGAUAAGUUUCCCAAUUCCAAAGGAAUACUACCUGAAAGACUGUUGUUUCCUAAUAACAAUUUGAACAAUAAUGGCAACAUACCCAACUCUUUCAGGAUCUUCCCACUUAGAUGAUUGGCGGAGAGAUCAAGCUGUCGCAGCUGAGUUGCUUUCCCAAGUUGAGGCGGUAUAGCACCAGAAAUAUUGUUGUUGGAGAUGUUCAGGUUUGUGAGCAUGUGGCACUGCCCCCAUUUCUCAGAAAGCUCACCAUAAAAAUUGUUGCUGCUUAGAUCAAUAUAAUUUAGAGUUGGGUACACACCAAAACUUUCGGCUAUGUCCCCUGUCAAUUGAUUUCUUUCAAGCCUAACUCUGAAUAAGCUAGUGCAAUUUUUCAAGCCUUUUGGAAUAGGACCAGUGAAAUGAUUUCCAGAGGCUGUAAAGUUUUCAAGAACACUACCAAGGCAUAUCUCUUGUGGUAGUUGGCCAAUGAAGUUAUUCUCAACUAACUGUAAAGAUUUCAAAUGAGUGAUAUUAUUCAUUUCAAGAGGAAUCGCACCACUAAGCUUGUUGUGAUCAAGGAACAAAAAGGUUAAGCUGGACAAGUUUCCUAUGGAUGGAGGGAUUGGACCACUGAGACUAUUAGCUGCCAAGUCAAGAUCAUAAAGUGAUGUCAACAAUCCAAUUUCUUGAGGGAUGGAACCAGAAAGCUUGUUCUCAAAAAGAUAUAAAGUGGUUAAAUUUCUCAAGUUUCCAAUGGAUGGAGGGAUCGAACCAGUGAGACUAUUAGUUUCCAACUCAAGAUCUAUAAGUGAUGUCAACAAUCCAAUUUCUUGAGGAAUAGAACCAGAUAGUUUGUUUGUAUGAAGGUACAAAGUCGUUAAGUUCCUCAAGUUACCUAUCGAAGGAGGGAUUGGACCGAUGAGAUUGUUAAAUGACAAUUGAAGAUCAUUAAGAGAUCUUAACAAUCCAAUUUCUUGAGGGAUGAAACCAGAAAGCUCGUUCUCAAAAAGAUAUAAAGUGGUUAAAUUUCUCAAGUUUCCAAUGGAUGGAGGGAUCGGACCAGUGAGACUAUUAGUUGCCAACUCAAGAUCAUUAAGUGAUGUCAACAAUCCAAUUUCUUGAGGAAUAGAAUCGGAUAGUUUGUUUGUAUGAAGGUAUAAAGUGGUUAAGUUCCUCAAGUUACCUAUGGAAGGAGGGAUUGGACCAGUGAGAUUGUUAGUUGACAAUUGAAGAUCAUUAAGAGAUUUUAACAAUCCAAUUUCUUGGGGGAUGGAACCAGAAAGCUUAUUCUUGAAAAGAUGCAAAGUGGUUAAGUUCCUUAGGUUUCCUAUGGAAGGAGGGAUUGGACCAGUGAGAUUGUUAGUUGACAAUUCAAGAUCAUUAAGAGAUCUUAACAAUCCAAUUUCUUGAGGGAUGAAACCAGAAAGCUCGUUCUCAAAAAGAUAUAGAGUGGUUAAGUUUCUCAAGUUUCCUAUGGAUGGAGGGAUUGAACCAGUGAGACUAUUAGUUGCCAACUCAAGAUCAUUAAGUGAUGUCAACAAUCCAAUUUCUUGAGGAAUAGAACCAGAUAGUUUGUUAGUAUGAAGGUAUAAAGUGGUUAAGUUCCUCAAGUUACCUAUGGAAUGAGGGAUUGGACCAAUGAGAUUGUUAGUUGACAAUUGAAGAUCAUUAAGAGAUCUUAACAAUCCAAUUUCUUGGGGAAUGAAACCAGAAAGCUUGUUCUUGAAAAGAUGCAAAGUGGUUAAGUUCCUCAAGUUUCCUAUGGAAUGAGGGAUUGGACCUGUGAGAUUGUUAGUUGACAAUUGAAGAUCAUUAAGAGAUCUUAACAAUCCAAUUUCUUGAGGAAUGGAACCAGAAAGCUUGUUCUCAAAAAGAUACAAAGUGGUUAAGUUCCUCAGGUUUCCUAUGGAAGGAGGAAUUGGACCAAUGAGAUUGCUAGUUGACAAUUGAAGAUCAUUAAGAGAUCUUAACAAUCCAAUUUCUUGAGGAAUGGAACCAGAAAGCUUGUUCUCAAAAAAAUGCAAAGUGGUUAAGUUCCUCAAGUUUCCUAUGGAAUGAGGGAUUGGACCAAUAAGAUUGUUAGUUGACAAUUGAAGAUCAUUAAGAGAUCUUAACAAUCCAAUUUCUUGAGGGAUGGAACCAGAAAGCUCAUUCUCAAAAACAUACAAAGUAGUUAAGUUUCUUAAAUUACCUAUGGAAGGAGGAAUUGGGCCUCUAAAAUUAUUAGAAGACAAUGCUAGAACACUAAGAGAUGUUAGAAAUCCAAGUUGGGGAGAUAUUACACCAGUGAAAUGAUUGAAAGCAAAGUUAAGAUUUGUGAUUCGUUUGGAAAGAUUACCAAUGUUGAUUGGAAUGGUUCCAUAAAGGGAGUUGUUAUAAAGAUUAAGAGUGAGAAGGUUAGGGAGUGAUGAGAAAUUGAGAUUGUGGAGUGUACCUCUCAAACCGCAAUUGUCAAGUUCUAAAUUGGAGACACUUCCUGACUUGUGACAAGUUAAUCCAAACCAAUGAUAGCAAGAAUUGCGUCCAGACCAAGAAGAGAGGAAAGAUUGGGUUUGAUUAUCAAGACUGGCUUUCCAUGUUAGAAGAGCGAGUCUUUCUUGAUCUUUUUCAACUUUUGAAAGAGAAGUGGUAGGUGUAGAGGCAGAUAUAGAAGUGACAUGGAAUGAUGAUAUUGAGUAUAGAAGGACAAGGAGAAAUAUGAAGUAGUAAGGAGUGAUAAAGAGUCGAGAGAGUAAGGAGUAGGAUGAAGAAUAUUCAAAGGCCAUUGUUGAAUUGGUAGAAAUGAAGUUAUUAAGAGGUUUACAUGGAGGGAAGGAUGAAGAUGAAACACUUAUUUAUAGACUUAAAUGUGAUACAUCCAACAUUUCCAUUAGUUGGUGUUGACAUCUAACCACCUCUUUCAUCUACAAAUAAUGGAAUUAAAAAGGAUUAUAUACAUGAGCUCAAUUCCACACAUAUUUUAUUUCAUUUUAUCGAAAUGCUCUGAAUUUUUCAAUUAAAAUUUACACCUACAAUUACAUAUGAAAUAAUUAAAAAUAUUUCUUUUCCACUCUAUGCACUUUUAAAUAUAACUUGUUUAAAAUUAAUAAUUACAAUUCAUUUUAAGAAGUAAGGACCAAAUAUGCCCACGUCAACAACCUAGUUGAUACAGGAAGUUCACUUUAACCAACAUUACUCCUUGUUUGGAUUGAAUUCUUUUAACUAUUUUGCCCUGAGAGAAAUAAACUUUUUUAACUCUAUUAGUUCUUUCAUAAUUUUUAUCCUUACAAUAUGAACUAUCUUAUUUCUCUUAAUAUUUUAUAAAUCAUUUAUGUUAUAUUUCAAAACCAAAUUAGUUGUCAUUUCUUGUACUUCUUUCCUAGACAAAUGCAUAAUUUGUGGUUGAUGUUUAUCAUUUUUAUUAAAGGUGUUCACAAUUUGUAAGUGAGACCCAUCAUCUAUGAAAAAUAUAGACAUGCUUUUUUUUCAUUUGGAAGUCUUAAGGAACUAGUAUUUGAACCACAACAAGGACUAAGGACUAACAAAUUUUCACUUUGUUUUUCAUCCAAAUAAGACACACAAUUGUUUUUGUAUUAUCUAUUCUAAGCCAAGGGGCUUUCAAGGCUUUAAAAUGCAUCUCUAAAGUUAAGAGGAGCCCAACAUAUAUAUCAUCAUGAGCUUUUUUCCCUAUUCAACGUGAGAUGUCACAAAAAUUGUUCAACAAGAUUAAUGCAUUUGUGAAGCUCAGAAGAAUCACAAAAAUCAAAGGAAAAUAUUUUGGGAAUUACAACAUAAAACAUGCAGGACCCAUGUACACAUGCAUUUUCCUUAUCAAACAGUUGUCUUGAAAAGCCAUUCUAAAGCCCACUUGGCUUCCCAUCACUAGUAAUGGACCAACAUCAUUCAAAUUCUCAAUGCUCUUGAAAGGCCAUAUGCACUUGAAGUAAAAAGAGAUUGAAUUUUUGUUAGAUAGUUUGUUUUUGCUAUUUGGGAACAUAUUUUUCUUUUCUUUUUUUUGUUCUUUUUUCUUUUUAAUAGAACGUUUACAUGGUAGCCUGCUCCAAUCCCCUUACGAAACUUUUGUUAUUAGGUUAGCCAUACACUUCACAUGUUUGUUUCUAGCGAUUCACAUGGUAUAAUCAAAUGAUACAAGUCUUGGAUAAGAAUCUACAAUGCACUAGAACACCCUUGUUGAUGAUCCUUUACUCCGAUAGUGUCUAGAGUUCCUCGAACAAUAUGAUAUCUCACAUUGGGUAAAUCCUUAACCCUUCCCCCUCUUACUAAGACUACAAAAUGUUCUUGUGAAUUAUGGCCAAUACCAGGUAUAUAAGUAGUGAUUUCAAAUCCAGAGGUUAAUCGUACUCUGGCAACUUUACGUAAGGCAGAGUUUGAUUUUUUUGGGGGUGAUAGUAGAAAAGUUGACAGAUAAGUCACCCUUACUAGAGUGUAAAAUCCUUUAUUUUUUGUUCAAAUUUUAGCUUUGCAAUUAGAGUCAAUACAUCUCGUAUUCAAUUCAAUCCUCAUAUUUUCUGGACUCCUAAAUUCUAAACCCUAUCUGGGUUUUCCAGUUUUGUGAAAAAUCACAUCAUAUGGACCUGACAGGAUGGGAUUUGAUUCAAUGUUAGAGACAAAAUUUUGGAAAAAUCUGCAAAACCCUCAACAGUUGUGGCCAUACCAUAGCUCAAGACCAAGAUGAGAAUUUACAAUCUAAUAAUGCUGAUGAAUGCUUCAUAGACUGCUCUACAAAACUAGAGUUUGUCAGAAGGCCUGUCCUUUGUUGAAAGACGUGAAGGUCGCAGGAAGAACCUAGGCCGAAAGUAAUCAGCAAAGGAUAAGAACACCAGGAUUAUUUCACAUUGAAACACUUUACUCCAACUACUCUGGUUAAACGAAUUCAUCCUAGAGUAAGCAUGUGAAGAUAGCAACCUUGUUAUAGACUUAAAUGUGAUACAUCCAACAUUCCCAUUAGUCGGUGUUGACAUCCAACUACAUCUUUGUCUACAACUAAUGGAAUUGAAAAAUUAUAUAGCUCAAUCCUGCACUUAUUUUAUUUUAUUUUAUCAAAGUGCUCUUGGAAUUGAAAAGGAUUAUAUAGCUCUUAAGUUUUAUUAACAUGAGUGCAAAUUAAUUUUAAUUUUGAAAAAGUUUUACUAAUUGGUGGAAAAUUCUUCCUCGAAUUAUAUGUGGAUAUGAAUUACUUGGAUAAAAUUUGGAGCUUUGUUGAUAUCAUGUUAGUGACUUAUUUUGUUGAGAUAUAUAGUUAUAAGACAAAUCUCAGCCAACUUUCUUUUUUUCUUAGAAAGACAAAGCUCAUUGCAAUGAAUAAUGGGAUCCAGAGAUGUAUAAAAGUGUGCAUUUUUACUUAAAAAAAAUGUGUUCCAUGACUAGCAUGUAUUUCAAAUUUAAGCUCAAACAAAAAGACCACUCAAUCCACUAAGAGCUCUUUAGAGAUGAAAACAACAUAAUAAUUGAAAACAAAAAUAAACUCAUUGAUAUGAAAAUAAAAAAUAUAUUUAUUUUGUUAUAAAAACUAUGAUAUCACAGAUUAAUUUGAAUGUGAAGUGAACUGGACUAUUGACUCUUUAAUUAAUAAAUCAAUUAAUUUUUAUAGUACUUUUUUUAUUAAAACAAUUCCUUAAUUGUGAAGUAAAUUUUACUUAUCUAUUCAUAUGUAUUUGAUAAAAUUAACCUUAAUGGGAUAGAAACAUCAUGCAAUUCAUUUUGUUUUUAUCAACAAUUCUUAUAAAGAGAUCACUUAAGGGAGAGAACUCACAUCAUCAAUGCUGAGUAGUUAUCACAAAGUGAUUAAAAUUUUUUUCCUAAAAAAAAAAUAUAUUUUUAUGAAAAUUGCUUUUAUUUAAAAUCAAUCAUAAUAUAAAUCAUGUUUUUAUUUUUUUUAUUAAGUUAAUAAGAUUUAAAAUUAAAAUAAAUUUUACAAAAUCAGUAAAUGUUUAUAUAUAUAAAAAAAUCAAAUGGCUCCACUCAUCCAUUAUUCAUGAUUGAUUGAACAAUGUAAAGAUGACAGUAUCUUCUAUGUAUAAUUUAAACACUCUCACCCUAGACUUUUAUACAUGAAUAGCUAUUAGAAAAUACAAAAUUUAAUGCAAAAAUUGGACUGAGGGAGUAACAUAACCUCAUCAAUGCUUGUAGUUGAUACAUAAAUAGAUUGAAGAGGAUACAACUACCAUCACAAAUAAUAAAUGAAAAAUAAUUAAUAUAACCAUAAUUUAGUUUUUCUUUUGUUUAAAUAAUCAACUAUUCUAGUUGGGGAAUGGAUCAUAUAUGGGGUCCAUGAAUUAAAUUAUUGUACAAAAUGUCUUACAAGAAAAAUGUUACUUAGCUUACGAUUUAUACAUUUGCUUUCAAUUAACUAAUGGUUCUAAUAUAUAAGUGUUCAUUUGGAUAAAGUUCUUAUUUUCCAGUUUUAAAAAUAAAAAAUAGUAAUAACUUCUAUUGAAAAUAUAAAAAAUCAUCUAACUCUUAAGACACAACUACCAUCACAAAUAAUAGACAAAAAUAAUUAAUAUAACCAUUGUGAGGUUGUUCUUUUGUUCAAAUAAUCAACUAUUUUAGUUGGGGAAUGGACCACACAUAUGGGGUCCAUGAAUUAAAUUAUUGUACAAAAUGUCUCCAAGAAAAAUGUUAUUUAGAUUAUUAUUUAAACAUUUGCUUUCAAUUAAUUAAUUGUAUUAAUAAUUGAGUGUCCAUUUGGAUGGAGUUCUUAUUUUCUAGUUUUAAAAAUAAAAAAUAGUAAUAACUUCUAUACAAAACAUAAAAAGUCUUCGAGUCUUAACACACAACUACCAUCACAAAUAAUAGACGAAAAACAAUUAAUAUAGUCAUUAUGAGGUUGUUCAUUUGUUCAAGCAAUCCACUAUUCUAGUUGGGGAAUGGACCACAUAUGUGGUCCAUGAAUUAAAUUAUUGUACAAAAUGUCUCACAAGAGAAAGGUUAUUUAGCUCACUAUUUAUAUAUUUGCUUUCAAUUAAUUAAUUUUUACUAAUAAUUAAGUGUCCAUUUGGAUGGAGUUUUUAUUUUUCUAGUUUUAAAAAUAAAAAACAGUUACAACUGCUAUAUAAAAGACAAAAAGUCUUCUAGUUUUAAGACACAACUACCAUCACAAAUAAUAGAUGAAAAACAAUCAAUAUAACCAUAAUGAGGUUGUUCUUUUGUUCAAAUAAUCAACUAUUCUAGUUGGGGAAUGGACCAUACAUGGGGUCCAUGAAUUAAAUUACUGUAUAAAACAUCUCACAAUAAAAAUGUCAUUUAGCUUACUAUUUAUACAUUUCCUUUCAAUUAAUUAAUUAUACUAAUAAUUAAGUGUCCUUUUGGAUGGAGUUAUUUUCUAGUUUUAAAAAUAAAAAUAGCAAUAACUUCUACAUGAAAUAUGAAAAGUCUUUGAGUCUUAUAUCCAAAAUGUAGUGCCUUUUAAACUUGAUUUGAAAAAAAAAAUAUUAAAAAAAAUUACUAUUUGGAAUUUUAAAUUUUUUGAAAAAUAUUUUUCAAAAUGUAAGGUAAGUCUAUAUUUUUUGUAUAUGAAUAUAUGUUUUUUAGAUAAAGUUUUCUUUUGUAAAAGAUAAAAAAUAGAAAAUAUAUCUAAAUGGAACAUAAAUGCUUACAUAAAAAUUAUCAAACAAUGAAAUGUUACUUAAAUCUGUAGUUAAAAAAUUAUAAUAGAGAACUCGUAAGCAAAAAAGUAUAUAUACUUAGUAAAGAGAAUUAAGACUAAUUAAUUGCAAAGAAAUUGUGACACAUUCAUGGGUAAAUCCAACACAUGUUUAGUGCAUGGCCCAAGUUUGUUAAAAUACUAUCAAAUAAUAAAGUUAUUAUGAACUCAAGAACUUCGGAUUACCAAAACCAACCUAAAUAAUUGGUCAUGCAUGACCUAUUUUAAAGUCUUUGCCAAUCCUGAAGUUAACUUGAAAAUUGUGUAAACAUGUUUCUUAGAAAUACACAUUUCAAACUCUCUCAAUCUUUCUUUACCAAAAACUCAAUACACCCUUUUUGUACCUCUCUUUACUCUUUGCUUAGUUUUUCCUUCUCUAUAAAAAUACUAAAUAAAGUCACAUAUUUAUGGAGUCCUAUUGGUUAACCCUAGACCAAUAGUUUCCCAAUCCUUUGUUAAGUUCAAAAGUAACUUACCAAAACAUACACACUAUAAAUAUUUACUCUCCAAAAAAUAAAUAUUAAAAUAAUUUGAGUCAAUGCACUCAACUGAAUCAUCGAUAACCAUAAUUUCUAGGGAUACAAAAUUGUUUAACAAGAUUAAUGCAUUUGUGAGGCUUAGAUGAAUCACAAAAAUUAGAGGAAAAUCUUUUGGGCAUUACCACAUAAAAGAUGUAGGACCACAUAUGCAUUUUCCUUAUAAAACAAUUGUCUUGACAAGCCACUUUAAAGCCCACUUGGGCUUGCCAUCACCAUUGAUGGACCUACAUCAUUACAUCAUUCAAAUUCUCGAUGCUCUUAAAGGUGGUAUCCACUUGAAGGUAAAAGGAUUCCAAUUUUUGUUAGAUUGUUUGUCUUUUCUAUCUGGAAACUAUUUUUCUUUUCUUUCUUUUUUAUAUCACAUUUACUCUCCUAGAAUGUAAAAUUCUCUGUUCUCUGUUCAGAUAUCAGCUUUCCAAUUGGAAUUAAUACAUCUAGUAUUCAAUUCAAUCCUCAUCCUUUUCUGGCCUCCUAAAUUCUAAACUUUGUCUAGGUUUUCCAGUUUUAAGAAAAAAUACAUCAUGAGGACCCAACAUGAUGGGAUUAGAUUCAAUGUUAAAGACAAAAUUUUCAAAUAAUCUGCAAAACCCCUCAACAUUUGUGGCUAUAGUUCACGACCAAGGUGGGAAUUAACAAUCUAAUAAUGCGGAUGAAUGCUUCAUUGACAGCUCUACCAGACUAGACUUCGACGGAAUGCAUGAUAACAAAUUUACAUGGAGAAGUGAGGACCCUUGGCUAGUUUCACCCCCAUGACCAUGGCCCAGCAGCCCAGCAGCUCAUUCAAUGUAAUCAUGGAAAACGCUUUUGACAAUGGUGGCCAUUGUGUUGAGAGUGCUCUGUCAAUUUGUUGCAUAGUUGGCCGAGAUUGGGGAUUAACAUGCAAGCAUGCAAAUGCUAAUUUGACUGCAAGUGCUACUUCCUUAGCCACUUAAUUCACAGGAGGUGGGAGCCGCUGGUCCAUCACAUCAUUCAACAGGCAAUGGUCCACAGUUGAUGGUGAUGAGGAUGAUGAGGACGCUGAUGAUAACAGGGAUAAGAUGAGUUCUUCAGGGUGCUUUCCCAUAAUUACUUCCAAUGUUACCACUCUGAAGCUAUGAACAUCGGUUUUAUUAUCCACCUUCAUCUUGUAAGCAAGUUUUGCAAAGAAGAUUAGCUCAUGCUCUUCUCUACUAAGCAAUUGUGAAAGUUACAUAUGAUGUAUAGAGGUCGUUUAGAGAUAAGCAAGGCACUAAGUAAAAUGUACCUGGAGCAGUUUAACCAAAAGUUCCUGCCAUUGAAGUCCAAUUAGACGAGUCUGACUUUAAAAACCUAGUCGUGCUGAAGUCAGAUACAUGAGCUUCAUAUUCUGAAUCUAACAACACAUUGUUGCUCGAUAUGUCUUGAUGAAUUAUGGGAGGUGAACAAUCAUGGUGCAUAUAGGAUAAAGCUUUAGCCACGCCUUUAACAACAUUUAGCCUCACCAUCCAAUCUAAUUUUUCUGCUUCUUCGUC